rnacentral:lncRNA from 1 species
CAACUUCACAAUCCGAGUUGUAGAUCCUGGCAUUCGCAACAAUGAUUUCUCCUCCAUCCCCCGUUAUUCGCUUUCCAUUUACAACUUAACUUCUCAUCUUCGAUUAGCAUCAAGUACAACACCUAUAACUUUCUUCAAGUGUGCAAAAGCAGUGAACUCGUCUGUGAUGAGAACAUAUAAUUAUGUCAAGCAUGGGAAUAUAACGGCAUCAAAUAUGGAGGACGGGUGCAGAAUAGAGUGGACGACUUUGAUGAGUAAGUCGUUCUUGUACGAAAAGGAGAGAAACUUUUCUUAUCAUGACAUACACAGCGCACUGGGGUAUGGCUUUGAGCUUCAAUUCCGAUUUCUCAAGACCCGCCGCAGAUUCGGUUUGUGAAUUACUUGCUAUAUUCCAAGUCUACAAUUUCUUACUAAAACUUUCUGAAUUUCUCCAAAUGUCACGUGUUUAAAUCUAUUAUCUAUGACUUUUGUUACACUUUAUUCCUCAUUUUCAAUCAUUUGUUUUGUUUAGUUUUAAUUGAAAUAAGGCGAUACAGGGCUGAAAAUGAGAAAGACAUAAGAAGAAAAUACGUCAAAUAUUCUUUGAAAAUAAAAUUCUCAAAAUUUUAAAUAGUUUUAUUACUUGUAGUAUUUUGUCUGGCUAAUUUAAAUUCCCUUCGCUCUUCUUCACAUUCCUCAUAUGAUGUAGUCUUCAAACUUAUUGUCAAGCCUUUGAUUUUGGUCACUUUUUCUUGUAUCUCUUGCAGUUAUAUACAAUUGGAAGAUACUCGGUAAGAGUUCGCAUAUUUCUUUAGUGAAGAAUUGUAUUUCCUAUCAGUCAAUCGAAAAAACAUAUGGAAGCAAAGAGUAAGGUUUUUAAUAUAUUAUAUCCAAUAAAGCAUGUCAUUUGUGAUUCUUUUUGUGAUGUUGCUUUGCAGGAACAUAUUUCCUAAUAAAAUCUAUAUUUGGGGUUCCAUUUCUGGCUGCUUUUCUAAUCUACAAACGGCGAAGAAUGCAUUUGUCAAUGUAUAGCAGCAUAGAAGAUUUCCUGCAAAGUGAUAACAACCUCAUUCCGAUAAGGUACUCUUACUCAGAUAUUAAAAAGAUGACCAGUAGAUUCAAUGAGAAGUUGGGUGAAGGAGGUUAUGGCUCUGUAUUUAAAGGAAAGUUACGAAGUGGUCGAUUUGUAGCAGUUAAAAUGUUGGAGAAGCCUAAAGCUAAUGGACAAGAUUUCAUAAGUGAGGUAGCUACUAUUGGGAGGAUUCACCAUUUUAAUAUGGUUCAACUUGUUGGUUAUUGUGUUGAGGGAUCAAAGCGUGCCUUAAUUUAUAACUUCAUGCCAAAUGGAUCUCUUGAUAAAUACAUUUAUUGCAAAGAAGGAAGCAACCCCUUAAGUUGCAGGAAAAUGUAUGAGAUUUCUCUUGGAGUGGCUCAAGGGAUCGAAUAUCUACAUCAAGGUUGUGACAUGCAAAUUCUACAUUUUGACAUCAAGCCUCACAAUAUUCUUCUUGAUGAGAAUUUCAUCCCAAAGAUUUCUGACUUUGGGCUUGCAAAGCUAUAUCCGGUAGGAAAUACCAUUGUCUCUUUGACAGCAGCAAGAGGAACAAUGGGAUACAUGGCUCCUGAGUUGUUCUACAAAAAUAUUGGAGGCGUCUCAUACAAAGCUGAUGUCUACAGUUUUGGAAUGUUGUUGAUGGAAAUGGCAAGUAGAAGGAAGAAUUUGAACACAUCCAUAGAGCAUUCAAGCCAAAUUUAUUUUCCUCUUUGGGUCUCAAACCAAUUUUGCAUGGGCAAAGAGUUUGAGAUGGAUGAUGCUACAGAAGAGGAAAAGAAAAUAAUAAAAAAGAUGAUUAUAGCUGCUUUAUGGUGUAUACAAUUGAAGCCAAGCGAUCGUCCUUCGAUGAACAAAGUUAUAGAGAUGCUUGAGGGAGAGGUUGAAUGCUUGCAACUCCCUCCCAAGCUUCUUUUAUGUCCACAACAAGAGAUGCCCAGAGACAAUCUUCAUGGUAAUUCGAAUCCAAUGUGUUCUAACACAGAGCUAACAUGUAGUACUCUGUCAGCUAGGUGAUGAGUAGGACUCAACUAGAGUUUCAACUUUAAUUUCAGUUUUAUUAUUAUUUACGCUAUAAGAAAAAUAUAUGGGUUCAAGUUGCAUACAUUAAAACUACGUUUUUAUUUUGAACUAGUACUUGUGUGGUUUUGCUCCUCUGCCACCACAAGCAUCGCCCUCGUUGUCAUAAUCACUACCACCGCCACUGAGUCAUAUCUCAUAUAUUGAUUUUUUUUUUUUUUUUAAGGAAAAUGCUAAGGAGAUCAACUCUAGUAAAAUUUACAUGUAACCGGUAUAAUACAAUUUUGCUAUCCUGAACUAAUAACACAAUGAUACGUGGAAAAGUUAUCAUAUAUGCCAUUGCGUUAUUAGUUGGGAAUAGCAAAAAGUGUUAUCCCGUUACAUGACAGUUUCCCCUUCAUCUUUAGAGACCAACUUAUGUACCAUCUCUCUAAUAGAGAUGGGAUCUAUGGUAUUAGUGGGCCUUACCUUUAUUACAGAGAUGGUACACAAGUUGAUGAUGUCGCCUUAGCAUGACCCUUUAUUUUUUAUAUAAAUAAAAUUUAAAUAUUGUAUUUAAAUGUCACUUAUGAUUGAAAAAGAAUCUUGAGCGACAGCCAUUGGCCCCCACUUCAAUUUUCUGAAGAUGGAAUUGGUCAUUGCACCAAUGAUCACAUGGAAGAAAGUCAUUAGCAAUACGCAAAUUGAAAAAGAUAGAUCAGCAAAUGCUCGAGGCCAAUAAGUAGUGACAAUAAAGCAACACACAAAAUGCAAAGGGCGGCAAUACAAAUGCAAGGGGCUGCUUCAUCAAAGUGAGUGAAUUGAAGGAGUGUCUUAAAAUCUCUCGUAAUAGCAAUUGCUGUUUCUCUUGUUCUUGGUCUCAGGUUUUGCCUUUUUCUUGUUUCUCAAUUAAUCUACGAAUCUACUACAGCUAAGCACAACAACGGCAAUGGAAAGUGCAUCCCGUCUUCCUGCGGUGGCAUCCACAAUAUAACUUUCUUCAAGCGUGCAAAGGCAGUGAUCUCAUCAUCUAUGUAUAAGGACACUACUGUUAUUUCGGGCACUAAUUGUAUUUGAUGUUGGUUCUCUGAAUCUUCAAGCAUGUGCUUUGUAGCGAUUCCUUCAAGCAACUAAUGAGUAAGAUAUUUUCACAGCAAUAAGCAUGUGCUCUGUUGGCAAUGGCAGAUUAAUCUUUGUCAAUCUUUUACAAUAAAAUAUACCAAAUCAUUUACAAAGAACUUGGAGGAGGCUAUAAAAAAAAAAAAAAAGGCAUGUAGAUUAGAGGCUUGACAUUUUAUUGUUUUAAAUUCACAGGUUGUUCGCUCUAAUUUUUUAUUGAACUUGGAGUUGGGAGAAAAGAAAAAAAAAAGAAAAAAGAAGAAGCGUUGAUUUAAUAUAGGUGUCCACUUCGAGAGAACUAUUCACAUAGAGAGAAAAAAAAAAAAAGGGAACGUAAACAUAGAAAAACAGAGAAAAAAGAUAGAAGAAAAGAGAGCACAAACUUCACCCCGGCUCAGUAGGCUCAGCUUGGCCCUGUCUGGUGGGUUUGAGAAAGGCUUCGAAUUUUUUGAAAAAAUCCAGCCCAACUCAACCUGUAAUUUUCUCUCUCUUAAUUGAAGCCCGAUCUAACUCGACCUAAAUCUAAUAAAUUUAGGCUGAGCCAACCCGGGGCAUUGAUGAGCCCUAGUUACAAAUCAGGCCAAUAAUACUCCCGAAAGGCUAUAAUGCGGGGUAAGUUUUAAGGAGUUCACUUUAUAGCCAUCAAAUCAAUCAAAGAGCUGUGGACAGUUGAGAUAAAAUUUUACAACCGGGUAGGUGAGGAACCCAAACCCAAAUUUAAUACCUAGCAAGUUUGAAGUUUGAACAAAAACCCAUAGCUUUGAGAAACUGCUAAACUCCUUCGGAAGAAGGCUUAACGAUGGUUGAAAGCAACUUUGUUCUCUAAACCUUGAAAAAGUAGUUACUUUGAGUGGAAGGGGAGAAGGCGUGGAUUCCGAAACUGUGGAACGGGCGAAGCAGUGGAAGGGGAAGGAGCGAAGCUGUAUUCGUUGGAAGUGAUAGGUUCCAUUUGUGGAGCAAAGCUGCACAGACACCCUAUGAUUGUUCAAGAACCAGCAUUUGGUAAGUAAUUUAUUGGAAUUUGAGUUUAGGGUUAGAGUAAUGGUUUUCCCCAAUUUUUACCGUCAAUGGUGUUGGAUUUGGCAUUUCGUGUUUGUGGUUCACUUGCAUGUUAGUUUUUGCUUGGGUAUAUGUAAAAAAAUCAAAUGAAAAUCAUGUCAAUAAUGAAAUGAAUAAGAUAAUGGUGGUGUUGAGUUGGAGGAGGCGCUUGAAACCUUCCACAUUUGAAGCAGUGCAGAGUGCAGAUCAUCUCUCUGGCUCUAGAAUAUAUAUAUAUUUUAAAAUAAAUAUUAUUUCCUUUGUUAGUAACUUUGCCUUUGAAAAAUGAGAACAAAUAAUAAUAAACUCAUGAAUAAAAGUGCAAAGCAUUUUAAAUAAAGGUUGGUCCAUGACCAUAGUGGUUGACUGAAGAAAAAGCUAGAAAGAAAUAAGGAUGUGGCAAUGGUGUAGCAAGCAAAUAGCAGAGUAGAUGCUUUGCUUUGCUUCCUUCCACCAUCUUUCUUAUUUAUUUAUUUAGUUUGUAUUGUGUAUGAAAUGACAAUAAUUGUCAUGUGUGUGAAGUGCAGUGUAACACCCCGACCUCAAAUUUCCCCAAAUUUAACCCUUAUUUAAUUAUUUAAUUAUUUAAGGGUAUUUUAGUCAUAUUUUUAACCGGAGAGAGUUUGGGACCAUGACUUGUAUUUUUGGAUAGGUCGUACUGAGACGAGUUCAUAGACACGUAGUGGGCUUGAAUCGGAGUUGUAACGAGAGAGUUAUGGUCAAAAGAAGCCCAGUGGCACAAUCGUAAAUAUUUCGAAAUGGGAUUUUUUAUAAAAACUCAGAUUUUUCUCUCUCUCUCUCCUCGUAACUCCGGCCACCGGCCGCGGCUGCGGACGGGGCCGGUGUCAAAAGAACCGGCUUGACCUCGGCGUCAAGACCCAACCCAUCCCCGCCAUUGGCCGCCGCUCCAGCCGCCGGAAAAUGGCGAUUUUUGCCCGGAUGUCGCCGGAACUUCAACGCCGUCGAUCUCCCUCCUCCGGCCACUAUUUCCGUCGGCCCAGGUAUGGAUCUUGAACCUCUCGAGCUGUUCUUGCUGCCUGUUGGUUGGGUUUUGAUCGAUUCAAUCUCUAGAUCACUCGAUUUUCGAAUUGAAAAUAGGCCGAAAAUUCGGCCGCCGUGAUCGGCCAUUUCCGGCCACUUUUUGGGGUUGUUCCAAGAACAAAAGUGGCUCCAAAUAGGGUGUUAUACCUAGGGUAGGAGUUUGGAGCCGUGGUUUUGAGAUUUUCCGGCGAAGCGUUAUCGCUUUGGGCACCCACGCGCUGCCGGCGCGUGCGGCGGCGCGUGGGCACUGUAGAAAAAUAUCACUGUGUUCCGAUGAGAUCCUUAGGUUGUCACGAGUGUGUAGGAUUUCGCGGAUCUCAAUUCGGACGUCGUUUGACUAUCGAACGGAUAAUCGCAUAGUAUGCGUUAUCCGGGUUCGAUAGGUUGGGACCGUCGGAUGGUCCCAAAUUUAAUAUAUGUUAAUCUAGGUAAUUCUAGGAUCGUGUAGGAAUUCACGGAUCGUGAAUCGGAGCCCCGAAUGUUCCGAAUAAUAAUUUUAAGUUUAUAUUUUAUAUUAACCGUCGGAUGGUGCGAUCGUGAGAAAUCCGACCGUCCGAUCUGAACCAAACUCACAGGACAAGUGCCCUAUACCUGGUAGAACCCAUAGAGACUUUCGGAUCGGAAAUUGGAGGUCGUGGGUUCUGCAGGUCCGUUUGACCAGGGUUAGAGUAGUUUGACCCUUGGUUGACCGUGAGUCUCCCGGAGUAAUCUUACCUUUCCAGGGAAGAUUAUCGGGUGCUAGAUGAUUGUUGAGGGUUACACAACAUUAGAAUUAAUUUAUAUAAUUAUAAUUAUAUAUAGUUGUACAAGGGUACAACAGAGUCUAGAAUGUCAGUUUGGAGUGCUAUACGCACUACUUUAAGUACCUCCCCGGAUUUUGGAUUCACUACAAGUACCACCAAGUGAAAGUUAGGUCCCACGUGGCGUAGGUUAUCCGGCGUAGGGACAGGCCCCAUACGUGGCGUUGGUUGUACCGGCGUAUGGGGAGAUAUGUGAUAUGCUGUUCAGGUCUCACGUGGCGUAGGUUAUCCGGCGUUGAGACAGGCCCCAUACGUGGCGUUGGUUGUACCGGCGUAUGGGGAGCUAUUGUGAUAUUGUGUUGAGGUCGCACGUGGCGUAGGUUAUCCGGCGUGUCGACAGACCCCAUACGUGGCGUUGGUUGUACCGGCUUAUGGGGAGAUUUGUGAUAUGAUGUUGAGGUCCCGCGUGGCGUAGGUUAUCCGGCGUUGGGACAGGCCCCAUACGUGGCGUUGGUUGUACCGGCGUAUGGGGAGAUAUGUGAUAUGAUGUGCAGGUCUCGCGUGGCGUAGGUUAUCCGGCGUUGAGACAGACCCCAUACGUGGCGUUGGUUGUACCGGCGUAUGGGGAGAUAUUAUGAUAGUAUGGCAUGGUCGCACGUGGUGUAGGUUAUCCGGCGUGUUGACAGGCCCCAUACGUGGCGUUGGUUGUACCGGCGUAUGGGGAGAUUAUUUGAAAUACAGAGAAAUGAAAUAAGGUAUCGCCCAAGUGUGGAACUGGGUUUUAAUGGAAGAACUACGUGUGGCUUGAUCCCUCAAGGAGGGUACGUAGGCAGCCUAAGGUUAUUAGGUGCAGCCGCAGACUAAAUGUUAGACACGUUGUUUUAGAGAGAUUGGUUCGGACCUUGUUGUUGGUCCUGAAAUUUAGGUGAAAAUGUGAUUGUGUUAGGAGGCUAAAACCUCAUAUAUUGUAAUGUGAAGGGUUAAGUGAUGCAUGUUGAAAUUUAAUAGUCAUAAUUUAUAUUUGAAUUUAGUGUUUGUCUUGUUUAAGGCAUGAAUUGUUUUAUUAGCGUAUUUGGUAGUUUGUUGAGAAUUAUUGGAAGGCCGAAGGCCAUUUAUGUGAAUUUGCAUGAGAUUAUAUUGUGCAUGCUGCCCGUUGGUGAUAUUAAAUGCGUUUUUAUGCAGGUUGAAAUUUUGGGAAAUGUCCAAUUUAUAGGGGAGAUUCUGCCGAAAUUUCGGCAGAAAGUCUCGGUUUUUAGUAAGUAGGCCUGGCAUCGGGGUGAUGUCAGGAAUUCCAAAGGGUUCGCCUCGGGUUUUGAGAAAAUUCGGGGCGGGUCCUUUCAUGCAAAACAUGCCCAAAUUGCACUCACUUUCACUCAUGAAUCAACCAUUGAUUGGAGUUUGGGUCCAUAAAUAAAACACAUGCUAUUGCUUGUAAUUCACAGAAUCAUUGCAUUAACAGGUAUUUGCACAAAAAUUGUCAUAUUGCUUUCAUGAUGUUAAAGCCUAUGAGAUUUGUAAUGUGUCUAGUUAACUAGUUGUGUAAAUACCAAUAUGAUUGUGCAAAUACCUGGCAGUAAGUGCAAAUACUAAUAUGAUUGUGCAAAUACCUAGUAGUAUAUGUGCUCACGUUAUUUCAUCUUUUAUUUCAAGAAAUGGAAUCCAACGUGCAGCUGGUAUGGCCAGAAUCAAAGGUAUAUGCAUCACGAGUGAAUAACUGCCCACAUGCAAAUUUAUCCCUAACAAAGUAUCUGAAAAGCUGCGAAAAUUAAGAUGGAAUAGGUAAAGGGAAAAGUAAGGUAACGGGACCAAGCCGGAGAAAUGAGAAGUGCAAGAAGGGUAAGCAUAUUGAAGUGCCAAGGUGUGGCUGGAAUUUUAAAGGUUACACGUAUGCUUUCCAGGUACAUGGUAAUAAUGUUCAUGUCAGUUAUGCUUUGUGAACUUUAAAACUUAAAUAAUGACAUUUAUCCUGUGAAUUGUGUAGAUUUGGAUUUUUGAAUUAAUUCCUACGUUGGUGGACUUGAAUUACUGCAAGGUCGUUGAUCCAACAGUUGUUAAGCAUAUUUUGCGAUGGAGAACUACUACAUCUGUUCCCGAGGUGAGAAAGUUGAACAAUUAUUUUUUCCAGAGCAAAGAGGUUUGGUUUGCAACCCUUGAAACUAUUUAUAAGGUCAAAUGAAAUUAUUAAGUAGAAUGAUUAAAUAUGAAUCUUGUUUGUAUUGGAGUUGGCCACAGAAUCGUCCUGCUUUUGUCUCGUUAGAGUCAAUUCCAUCUUCAUGUGGUGACCUUAAUGAGUUGAACAAGGUGGUAAGCUUGUUGAGGUCCGAGUAGGAUCAAGUAAAGCAGGAAAAGGACCCUCUUGAGUUAAGGGUUAUAAGGAUGGAAAAACUUUUGGACCGUUGUUUAGGUCCUGAGUUUGAGCGGGAAGUAAGGAAGGACCUAGAUUUACUGAAAGAUCGGACGAAUCGUUGUGUUUUUUCACAUCUAUUUAUGGGAUGUGAGGAAAAGGAUGAGAUUGAAGGGGAUGAAGGACCAAGUAAAAGAAAUGAGGGAGAGGAAAAGGAAGAGGAGGGGAUUCAAGCGGGUGAAGUGCAAAGAAAACGAAUUGAGGGAGAGGAAGUGCAAAGAAAAAGAAGUAAGAGAGAGGAAGUGAAAAGAAAAAGCAGUGAGGGAGAGGAAGGGGGAACAAAAAGCAGUGAGGGAGAGGAUCUGCAAAGAAAAAGAAGGGAGGGAGAGGAAGUGUAAAGAAAAAGAAGUGAGGAAGAGGAAGUGCAAAGAAAGGGAUGUGACUCACGGAACACGGCGGGGACAUUAUGUGAGGAAGAGGCGAAUGAAGUUAUUCGGGUUGAUGAUGACAAUGGCAAGAGCACGGCGGGGACAAAUGUUGAGUUUACCGUCAGGGACAUUGCAGCUGUGCUAUCUCAAUUGAAUAUUUGGUUGAAUGAUGAAAGUAAAGCUAUGGAACAAGGGGUCCAAUUACGGAAGAGGAAGAGAAUUAUUUAUAUGUGGAAGAUUACCGAAGCUAGUGAAUUGUUGACAAAAGCUGUUCCAGUGAAAACUUGAAUUUGGAUGCUAGACCUAAUGAAGGCGAUUCCACAUGAUGAUAUGGUGAAGUUGCUGAUUUUUUUUUUUGGAAUAUUCCGCAUGAUGAUAUGGCGAUUCCCUUGUUUUUUGAGAUAGAUGGCAUGAGUGUAUAUAUUUUUGAAAUUUUGUGAUCUAAAACUUUUUUAUAUUCGUAGUUUAGUGAUGGAAUUUGGCCAUGCGGAAGCAGAGAUUGAAUUCUUCGCUUCCCUCGUCAAAGUCGACGGUUGACUAAAAGGAGAUGUAAGUUUAAUUGUUUAAUUGAUUAUGCAUUUCUUUUAAUGUACAUAGUUUAUGGCAUUGGCAACAAAAAUAUGUGCAGCACAUUGAUUUGGGGUUGUAUCUCAUCCGGAAGCGACAACAACAAUUAGAGGCUGUAGAAGUAUCGAACUGGACAAUGACAGAUAUAUUUUUCAUGGUAUGUCAUAGGCCUUGACCAAGUGCAGUUAAUAAUUACAUAUUAUCCAUAUUUGCUUUGUAGAUAUUUAUAGGAUUUUUAGUACCUGCGCAAACAGGGUUAAAAUCACAUAAAAUACUUGCAAGAAUACAAGGCUAUUGUAGUAUAGAUGUUCAUGCAAGGUCGUUCUUCUCAAGGACUACUUAGCAAUUUAUGUAAAAAUGAUUUCCAAUUAAUUACUUAAAAUUAAAAGCUGAGAAGGACGAUUCUGAAAUUGUUUGAUACCAAAAAUAAAUUUUAAACAAAAACAACAAAUACGAUUGAAGGAAAGAGUUUUUAAAGAAAACAAUUUAUAAAAACACUAGGGUUUCACCAUCACCUAGCAAUCUUAUGAAUUUUUACCAAUUACUUAUGAUUUGCAGAUGCCACUUUGAAGGUUAAGUUUUCCUAAUUUAUAUUCUACUUGGAACCUCCAACAUAGAACGUAUAUCCAACAUGCAACCCGUCCGAACGUUCGGAUCAAAUCUAAACAUGAAAGGCUCAUUAAGUUUUGUGAAAACCCUUUGAAAAACCAUGCAACCCUUAAGACGUGGUGUUCGUCUUAAGAGAAAUUACAAUUAUUAAUCACAAGAAGCCAGCAUCAAUUUCAGGGAACCUUACGACCAAAAUUGCAUCCAAUUACUUUUCUAAAGAUCUUAAUGGUGAUUAGGCAUUAAGACAAUUAGAUAGUUUAAAACAGUGAUUAACAAUUCAAAGUAGGCAUGCACUCAAUCAUAAACAAUUAAAUAAAAACUACAUAUUCAUGCUAAGGUUCAAGGCUUCACCCUAGCAAAAGAAAAUUAGUUACACAUAUUCAUAAUUAAAAUCAAAGAAAACAUCAUUCGAAUUAAUAAGAAUGAAAACACCUGAAAGUCGCAGAAACGCAAAACCCUAGCAAUUGCUCCAAAAGCCAAAAAGAAGUCCCUAAAAUUUUCUGUGAAAAGGAGCUUAAAUACCUCCUAAAACCUAGCUGCCCAAUCCCCACAAGGAAAUUAAGUUGAAAUAAAAUAAUACUAGGAAAUAAAGUCCAAAUUGGAUUAGGAGAAUCUGCCCACAAUCUGCCCAGCCACGUUUUGGCCUCAAAUCUCCUCCAAAUCUGACCCAAGAUAGCUUGUUUUAAAGAUAAAAAUAUUCUGAACACUUCUCUAGAAGGCCACGAACCCAUCCGAGGUCAUCUUGGGCUCCAACAAUGCCAUAAAGGCCCAAAACGUCACCGUUCCAGCACCGCGCACUGCUAUUUUAUUUUAUUGCCAGAAAAUAACCGCUUAGUAGAAAACUCUGAAAUUUUGAUACGAUCAAGCUAAGUGACUCACGAACGUCUUCCAACUAGAAUUACUCCAAAAUUCUUCUAUUUGCUCCAGAGGAAGUCGGAAGUCCUAUAUUGAAAAUAUAAUUCAAAGUAUCAAAAUUCUUCCAAAAUAUUAACCAAAAUAUACUAAGGAUGGGGUUAAAUAUAAAAUAUAAAAUAUACCCAUCGGAGAUGUUUACAACUUUUAUUUUCUAUUUCACAUAAUCACAUUCAUACUUGUUUUGUUGAUAAUAAAAGAAAAAAAGAGCAGUUUGGGUGGAAAAUUAGAAACAGUUUACUGAACGUUGUCAAUGGCAAGGUUCCGGCGUGUGGGAUGGGUUGGGAGUACAAGUAUAAGGUGUAUGCCCCUUGUAUGUUCACGAAGCAUAAGCAUUGGGUGGCUCUAAUGAUUGAUCUGGUUAAUUGUGAAAUCAUAGUGUACGAUUCAAUGGUUUCACUUAUUCCAGAUGAGAUCUUAAAGGAAGAACUUGCCCCGCUUUCAAUUACGAUUCCAAAUCUUCUCAACGCCAUGGACUUUUAUGAAGAAGGCUUUUACUCAAAUGAUUGUAGCCGAGAUUGGUGGUGUUCGUGGCCAAUAGAAUUUAUGGAUGUUCCACAGCAGUCUAAUGAGUGAGCACAAUUGUUAAUUUAAUUUUAUUACUUUAAAUUGUCAAUUACGCUGGAAUGUUAUUACUUUAAUUGAUUGGGUUCAUGUUUUUCUUUAGAGGCGAUUCUGGCAUGUUCGUGUUGAAGUACAUUAAGCUUCUGAGCGCUGAAAUUCCUUUAACUACUCGCACCUCGCAGAACAUGCCAUUUUUCCUGUUGAAGUUGGCUGCAGAGAUAUCACGGGGAGAUGCUUACAUGCCAUGAUAUUGGUUGAAAUUAGUUCAGGUACAUGAUGACAAAAUUGCUUUUGGGAAUCUCCAAUUUGAAACAUAUCUAAAUACACAAUACAAACCCACGAGUCCUUUUCCAAUUCUACCUUUGCUCCUCAAUUCUUCUUCCUCUUUCUCAAUCUUUGACUAUUUUUGUACAUAAUUUUAGGUUUAAGUUAUUGAACAAUAACAAUUAGAAUCAAAAUAGUGGCAAAUAUUAUAGCGGAUGCAUGUUUUCAUUUUGAUUAGUGUGAUACUAUGUUUCCUAAGCAUCUCAUAUUGGGCUAAAUUUAUAUGGUAGUUGGAUGUAGAGCAUAGAAAUAAAAAUGAUGAAAAAUGAAGAGUAGAGGAAGAAAAAUGAAGAAUCUGAAAUGUAGAUGCAGAGGCUUGGUGAGAAGCAAAGUAAAUGGAUCUGUUAAUCUAUCACACGUGGGCAAUUUAAAUGGAUCCGCAGAUGCGUUUUGGAAGUUAGGCACAUACAUAGCCGUCCCCAUACAUAGAAUGUGCAUCUGUAGUUUAGAUUUAAUGAAACAAGCAUCUGUGUAAUAUUGGCCUAUUCAUUCAUGACAUUUACAUAACCUUAAUCAAACUGCAUUCAAUUGGGAUUUUAAAACUGCAUAUGUGAAUGGGGACUGAUGGCUUUUUAAGUGUAUUACAUAAUUGUAAAGUGAUAUGUCAUGAUUUUUCCAAGCCAUCAUUCCAAAUAUUAGAUCCCAAUCUUCAAGCCAUUCAACAUGGCUUGGCUUAAUUGAAAUGGCUUGUAUCUUAAUAAGGUAUUUUUUUAAGGGGAAUAGGCGGCUAUGCCCUUGGCUCUAAUGUUUUAUUCAACGAUUCCCUCUUUUAGAAGCACAUUCAAAAAUGUCCCUAGCUGCAAUGCUAUAAAAAGUCCCUAUUGGCCGCGUAUCGCCCCUCGGGUUUGAAUCCCUCUUUCUCCUAUAUAAUCGGUUAAUAAAUUCGUUGCUUUUCUUUAUUAUAUUGGUUUUGCCCGGCUCAGUAGCAUAAAAGUAAUGUAUAUUACUUGUUUGUUGCGUGUAUAUUGCUUAUUUAUUGCAUGUAUAUCGCAUGUUUAUUGCAUUUGAUAUGCUGAGGUCGCACUAUGUGUCCUAUUGCGUUUAUUUUGGCUUUUUUAGUGCAAAAUUCUUGAAAAAGGUAAUAUGACAAGACCUGUCCCGAAUUUCUCGGAAUCCGAGACGAAUUCUGUGGUAUUACCACCAUUGUACCAAUGCCGAGCCCACAUACUAAAGAAACGAGACUUUCAGCCGAAAUUUCGGCAAAGUCUCUCCUGAAAAAUGGACAUUUUCCAAUUUUCUCGACUUGUUAAAAACACAUUAAUAACCCUAACUGGCAGCAUGCACAAGUUAAUAGAGUUCAAAUUUCAAACAAAAUAAAAAAUAAAAUGAAUAAAAGAGUCCUACGAAAGCUCGGGGUUCGAAAGUAGAGAUCUCGGCUCAGCCGAUCGAUUAGAAUAUAGCUACUAUCUGGGGGGCGCAAAACAGAAAAGUGUGAGUGGACAAAAAUAAAGUUCCAUUAGUUGAAAACAAUGUAUAGUAACCCCACCAUUUGGAAAACAAUGCAGAAACAUGCAUUCAAACCAUCGUAGAUAUAUACAUAUAUAUAGCCACAUCAAAACCAUGGUGAAAUCCAACUCUCAUCAAGAUAUCCAAAUACCCAUCUCAUACAAAAUAAUUUUCCCAAACCAUUCUCAAAAUGCGUGCUCGUUGGCACGACGAGCGAGCAAGUGCUUCCUUCCAGGAGGAUGACGGAGUCAGAUUCGGCUCUAACUUCCUUCCAGCUGCUGCAGACAGGAGGUUCUUCUUGAUCUCACACUCUCUCUCUCUCGCUCUGAGUUCGUUGGAGGAAGAAAAGGAAAAAGAAGAUGAAGGUGGUGGGGAGAGGGUUACUUUGGUGCGCGUAAAGAGGAAGGAGAAGAAGGAAAAAUAAUAAAUGAAAAAGAAGAAGGAGGAAGUUGGUAUCUGGGAAACCACAAAUAGCUGCUGGAGCUUAUGAAUUUGAUUUUUGGGUCGGAUUUAAUUAUUCGGCUCAUUCCAGCACUUAUCCAUGGCCCUAAUAAUUAAGGGGGCUCAUGUUGAGGCCCAAAAAAGUCCAUGGUUGGGUCCAAAUAAGUUUUCAGUCCAAUACGAUACUGUAUUAAGAAAAGUCACAUAUCGAAGUACACGAAGGCUCGUCAUAUACAAGUUAUAGUCCACGUGCCAUGCUAAAUAAAUAAUUUUCCAUGCCAAGGACUGAAAUAAUAUUAUAAAACACAAGCCCAUGCUAAACUAAGCACCGUGUCCCUCUUCUAGGACGAUAAAAUUGAAUCACGCCAAGCAACAUGCCACGCCAAGCAAGGAAUUAUUAUUCCGCACCCAAUCACGCCACAAGCUUAAGUGGGCCCUAAGCCACUCAAAUACCCGAGGCUUGCUUCAGUGGGUAGUGGUAUGGAUAGUAACAAAUCGACAUGAGGUCCAUUGAUGAGCCGAGAAAUGGAAGUCUCGGGUUGCUUGGGAGCCUCGGGACUCAAGCCCAUUUCUUAGGCCCAAAUAUAUGGGUGAGCACAUAGGAGGAAAUAGCCCAUUAGCUUAACCAAAUUGGUCCAACACCUCAACAAAAAUAAGCCAAACACUUGUUGAGGUUAGCCCAUUUACUUUGACAAACCAACCCAUUAUCUUAGAAGGCCCACACAAAUAGAAAUGAGAAGCAGCAAAAGCUUCAGACCCUUGCUGGAAAAAUAGAAGCCACGAAAGAAGCAAGAUGUCCACAUGUGCAGAGCUGCUGGAAGGCUCCAACACAUGGGAAGGAACAAGUUCCAAGCACAAAAUAUCCAAAGAGCUAAGGGAUAUUAGCACGUAAGCUGCCAGGAGGAGAAGCACCCUUUGAACCAGCAUGUACACUCAUUUGCUUUCCUUGUUCAGAUCUGGCCAGGGAAGGAGGAAGGAAAGAAGAAGAAAAAUAGCUAAGAAUAGAGUAUCCCACUGAACAGCUGCGGGAAAGGAGGCCUUGAGCUCCCAAAGUUCCUGAUUUCGUGGAAAUAGAAAGAGGGAAAUUUCACCAAGAUAGGAAGAGUCAAGGGAGGAUAGGAGAAAGGAAGGGAGAGAUUUGGCCAAAUUGGAUAGAAACCAUUAGGGUUUCUUGGAAAAUGUCAGCUUCUAGCGUCUAUAAAAGAGGCCUUUUCUACCCAACGAAAUGAACCCACACCUAGAGAGCAAGCUUCCUCUCUUACCUGCAAAAACCCAGCAAUCUCGUGCACUAUUCACCCUCCUUGCCGGAAGAACAUGGUUCUUUCUUCCUCUCUUCUUAGCCAAAUCAGCUUGCAAACCUCUUCUUCCUCACCUUACACACUCCCAUUUCUCCCUAGGAAGCCAUAUUUUCCUCUUUGGUGCUAAACUCAUGUUGAUUUUGCUUCCAUGCCACAAGCCUCUCACGUCAAGCUUGAAAAUUUAUCUGUAAGCAUCAAGAAAUCAUCUGUAAGUUGCUGUUGUUUUGGUUGGUGAAGGUAACCAAGAUGCUUCCUAAGGCUCUACUGCCCUUUCGAAGCAUUUUUGGGGCUUGAUUUUCGAACUCAGACAAAGGGGACAAUUUCAUCAAUCUGCCCUUUACGGCAGCCCAGCCCAUUUACAGCUGCCGGAAGAAAAAGCCCCCUACAAAGGUUUAAUACCAUCGUCUCUUUGACGGCAGCAAGAGGAACAAUGGGAUACAUGGCUUCUGAGUUGUUUUACAAAAAUAUUAGAGGUGUCUCAUACAAAGCUGAUGUCUAUAGUUUUGGAAUGUUGUUAAUGGAAAUGGCAAGUAGAAGGAAGAAUUUGAACGCAUCCAUAGAGCAUUCAAGCCAAAUUUAUUUUCCUCCUUGGGUCUCAGACCAAUUUUGCAUGGACAAAGAGUUUGAGAUGAAUGAUGCUACAUAAGAGGAAAAGAAAAUAAUAAAAAAGAUGAUUAUAACUGCUUUAUGGUGUAUACAAUUGAAGCCAAGCGAUCGUCCUUCGAUGAACAAAGUUAUAGAGAUGCUUGAGGGAAAGGUUGAAUGCUUGCAACUCCCUCCCAAGCUUCUUUUAUGUCCACAACAAGAGAUGCCCAGAGACAAUCUCCGUGGUAAUUCGAAUCCAAUGUGUUGUAACACAGAGCUAACAUGUAGUACUCUGUCAGCUAGGUGAUGAGUAGGACUCAACUAGAGUUUCAACUGUAAUUUCAGUUUUAUUAUUAUUUAAGCUAAUAAGAGAAAUAUAUGGGUUCAAGUUGCAUACAGUAAAAAUUCGUUUUUAUUUUGAAAAAAAUACUUAUGUGAUUUUGCUCCUCUACCACCACAAGCAUCACCAUCGUUGUCACAAUCACUACCACCACCAUUGAGUGACAUCUCCUUCUUCUUCUUUUUUCUUUUUUUUUUCCUUUUUUUUUAAGGAAAAUGUUAUGGAAACCACUUUUAGCAAAAUUUACAUGUAAUGGGAAUAGCAAUAUUUUGCUAUCCCUAAUCAAUAGAAUAAUGAUCUGUGGAAAAGUUAUCAUACGUGUGAUUGCGUUAUUGGUUGGGGAUAGCAAAAAGUGUUAUCUCGUUACAUGAGAGUUUCCCCUCCAUCUUUAAAGAGACCAACUUGUGUAUCUUCUCUCUAAUGGAGAUGGGACCCAUGGUAUUAGUGGGCUCUACCUUCAUUACAGAGACGAUACACAAAAGAUGUUUUUAUAAAAAUAAAUUUUAAAUAUUGUAUUUAAAUGUCAUUUUGAAUUCGCACGCUUGGUGAAGAGAUGGUUGAGUAUGUGCUCUCAAUCUUUUCUUUGUGAGUUAAACUGGUGAACUUGAGUGCUUUGAUUCUUGUGUCGACGGUGAACUGCCCAAGCGUGACUUUCUUCAACAAGUUGGCUCAAUAGAGACUGAGAGUUCAAAUGCUCUCUAUUGAGUUCAAAUGCAAUUGCCCAACCUUUCUUUUGUCGCUUGCCUCCUUUCCAAUUGUCGAAGUCAACUUAGGUUUCGAUUUGGGUAUGUAGUUGCGCCCGGAUAAAAGCACCUUUUGAAUUAUUGGCAAGGGUUUCUUAUUUUAGAAAGUCAAACCUCUUCUGGAGAAAUUAUAGAAUGGUACGGUAUUACCACGUCAGUGGGUGAUACUUCCACUCAUAUAUUGACAUAUGUCUUUUUAACCCUCCACUAAUUAAAUUAUUUUCCAGCUAGACAUUAGGUAUCAGUUUUACCCUUUAGAACUAAACUAUUAAAAACUUUUAUUUAUAUAAAAACAAAAAACAAAACAAAAAAAUAAAAAAAAAAAGACGACUGCAGCCAAGGUCUGCAGUCCUAUACCCCCUUGCUGCCGCCCCCUCCCCUUCUUUUCCUUCAUCUCUCUCUCUCUCUCUCUCUCUGAAUCACUUUAUUUAAUAGUUGGCAUUUAUUAGAUCAUCUCUUGUCAAGGCCAUGCGGGAUUGAGAGCAAAGUUGGAUAAAGAGAACUUGGAUCUGGAGUUUUUGAGGGAGAUGAAGGCAACCUAGAUGAGGAGAUUGAAGGAUUGGGGAAAGGAAUAAAAACAGGGAGGGAGGGCGCUGCAGAGGGAAACUGAACAGGACGGAGGUGGGAGGCUGUGACACGGUUUUUUUUUUUUCUCUUUUAAUUUUUGUGAAGGGUAAAAUUGGAACCCAAUGUCUAGCUGAAAAAAAAAGUAUAAAUUUUCUUUUAAAAAUACACGUGGCAAAUUUUAAAUGGAAGUAUCACCCGCUAACGUGGUGAUACCGUACCAUUCUAUAAUUUCUUUUGUUUGUGGUUUGACUUGAACUUCCAUUAUUAAGUCUUUCCAUUUAUGAAUUUAAGUGGGCCAAAGCCCAUUUGUACUUUUAAAAAAAUCCCUUAAUGGGUCUUUUUUCAUUUUAGGCCCAAACAAAACUCUACUAGUGUUAUUUAUAAUAAAUAAUAGCCACUUAGGGUUGGCAACAACUACCAGUCAUCGUUGCUUAAUGUUAAUGCCACUUGUAGAGGAGAGGUGAUGGCUAGGAAAUCUUGGAUUAGGAAAAUGGGGAAUUUGAGGAAUACGUUUAGGAAGAAGAGUACAUCUAAGAUGAGAAGUGAAAGAAAUAGGAGUUUUAGGCAUCCGAGGUUUAGGAAUUUGAGUUAGGCGGAUCCAGGAAUUUUACUUCCAAGGGUCGACAUGUAAAGUAUCACAAAAAAAAAAAAAAUUUAGACAAAAUUGACCUGUAAAAAGACAUAUGAAAUCAACACUAAUUUACUAUUUGCAAAUAAUCUUAUUAAGGGCCUUAGCAUACAAAAAAUAUGCUUUAAAAUAGGCUCAUAAUCAAUUUAUGUUAGCAAUUGUUUGUAUUGCUAGUUAAGAUUAUUAUGUCUUGCUAUAAUAACUUUUAAAUACAUCAUAAAGCCAGCAAAAUUAUUUGGGUGGGUAGGGUUUGCGUUGGGGAAUUGAGUUGCUUUGAGGGAAAUAUGUUUGACUUUGGGGGGGUUAUUGGCAUCCUUUUUUGUUUUUUUGUUUUUUUGUUUUUUUUGUUUUUUGAACGCUUGGGGAGAAAGGUUGAUAACUUUAAACAAUAAAUAAAUAAUAAAAGAAGAACAGACACGUAUGCAAGCAGCCGAUAAGCCUUUAUUUGGAGCAUUACAUCGAACAGAUGAUUGGCAUGACUUCUCCAGCCAUCCACCACAUGCAGGGGGAACUCUCUCAGGAAGUUUUCGGCGAGAGGGAAUGUACAGCAGCUCCUUACGCCUUUAUGGCUCCGACACUAUGUUAUGCUUCUUUUUUCUUUUUUUUCUGUUUCUUUUAGUCAAGGAUAUUUUUGCUUCUUAGAGCUCCAGGAAAUGAGACUAGUACACAGAAAGGUUACAAAACCAUGGUGAAUCUUGUAUCAUUAGAGCAUCUCCAAGGGAAAAGGCAAAAUAGUAGGCAAACCUCAUUUGUCUUGUCAUAUCAGUAUUUUUAUGCUCCAAAAGAAAAGGCAAAUAGGUAGGCAAAAUAUACCUACUCUCCGCAACAAGACAAUACUGUCUACUUCAAAGUGAAAAUGUAUAUUGGGCCGUACUUGCUUUUUAUUAUUAAAAUAUCAUCCACACUAUUUCACAUACUUUCUAUAAAAAUAUAAUAGUAAAUAUAAAAGAUAAAAACAAAUAAUAUAAUAAUGGUUUGUAGACUUGAAUUACCUAGUCCCUUGGAGUGACCAACUUUUUUCAUGAGGCAAAUGGGUAGGCAACAUGCCACCUAGAUUGUUAUUGUACAAUUUUGCCUAUUUUAUUUUGCCUCUUCCCUUAGAGAUGCUCUUAGGAUCACUCGUCAGCAUCUGUGUAAGCUUUUAACUCCAAAUAUCUAAGACAAAAGGUACCUCCAGAUCUCUGUAAGCUGUGAAGAAUUUCAUGUGAAUGUAGAUAGUGUGGGAUUCAGAAUUGAACUUUUAUUGAGGUGAAAUUACAAUACAAUAACUGAUAAGAAUUUUUUUCUUAAUAACUGUUGAGGGAAAAUGUGAGUCUCCCAACAUAAUUUUACCACCAUUACCUAAGCAAUGAGGUUUUAUUAUCUUUUAAGUUCAACUCAUUCAAGAUUAAAGAAUCUCUUAAUUACAAUCUCUUUCUCACCUCACAGGGUCAAAGCAACCCCUUUUACAAGUUUGAAUGAAACAACUCUAAACAAAAAAUCUCUCAUGUUUGAGAAGGAUAUGCAAUUGAAGCUCACACAAUGAUAACUCUCCUUUCUAAGUAGGUGAUAUAGAAGUCAUUUGGACACUAGAAUUCUUGUAUGAAUAUGGACAGGAUUGGCUCAAGAGAAAAUGAUAUUCAGAGUAUGUUAAACGCUUGUAAGCUUGGAUGAAUAUAUUGAGUUGUCUUUUUUUUACAAAAAUUUGAAGACAUAUUUAUAAGCAUAGAAAUAUAGUUGUUGGAAAAAUAAUGCCGUUGGAAAAGCUGUUAGGAAUAUAGUUGUUCUCCUUUUACUUUCAUCUAUUUUUGUACUAUUCCAUUUACUUAAGCUCACAAUGUAAAUAAGGAAGUACCCACAUUUGGAUUCAAUAAAAAUAUUAGAAAAUCAAAUUCCCACCAAAUCAAAAGAUGAAAAAUUAGUUUUAGUUCAAAAUACGAUUUAGACUAAAAAUGAUGGCUCAUUAAGUCUCUAAGGUCAAUCUAGGUACAAAGUUUUAGUUGUUCAAUCCACAAAGAGUCUUACAAGAAUAACCUAACUCUUACAUAUUGAAGACAUAUUUGCUUGAGUAUCGGCUUCUUGCUUCAAUGUUCCAAAUGUCUUCUAGUGUGUACACUAUUUUUGAUCCAUUUAGGAAUAUCUGCUCCUUACAACUUAUCGCACUUGAAAUACAUUAGAUAAAUAAGUAAUAAUUUAUUAUCAUCAAAAUAUGCACGACAAGAUUUAUCAUAAAUAAGUAAUAAUUUAUUAUCAUCAAAAUAUGUUAAAAUAUUUAUCAUACAUUUUAACAUUAAGUUUCAUAUUAAAUUAUCAUUCAACACAUCCAGAUUAACUAUUAAGUUCAACUCAACUAUUCAAAAUCACAUCAAUAUGAAAUUCCAGAUAAGGUAAGGAAGAAUUAAGAGAGGGAGGUUAACGCAGGGUGAAACAUAAAUAUUAUAAUUAUAUAUUUAUUUAUUUAAAUAUAAACAUAUAUAUUUUCGGUUCGGGUUCGGGGAUGGGGACGCCAAUACCAUCCCCUCCCCAUACCCGCUAGGGAUUUUUCAAGUUCGGCGAUCCCCAUACCCGAUACCCGUUUGACCUCGAAAUCUCCUCCCGCUAAGGUUGGGGAUCCGACCUGCCCCGCGGGAAUUUUUGCCAUCCCUAGAUAUAGUUAAUGGAUAGUUUUGUUUUGGGCUUAGUCAUAUGUUUUUGAAUUUUUGUUAGCUUGACGUCAAUGGGCCUUCACAAGGGCUUUAAGGCUUGUUUAAUUUUUUUUUUAAUUUUUAUUUCUACCCUUUUAUAACUAAAAACACUGCAAAAUUCCUCAAAAAUAAAAUUCAAACAUGAGAUAUGAGAUCUGAUCAUAUCCAUCAACCAGCAAUGUCGACCAUGUGGGAACCAAUAUUUCGAGGACCAAUGAGUGGGUGACAUGUGGAAAAGGGAAAUUUCCUAUGUCAAAUAAUCAUCCUAAUUAAUUAGGGAGAUAAUAUUUGAUUCAAGAUCUGAAUAUCUCCCUAAAUUAAGGAAGAUAUUUCCACCAAAUCUCCUUGAUUAAUUCCAAUAUCCUAUUUUUGGGUAAGAAUAAUCCUGAUUAAAUAAGGAUUAUUCUUCAAACCCUAGAAGGCAUGAGCUCUACAAAUACAUGAGUACACAACACACAUGUGGUAAUUGUAAACUCAAUUUCGAAAACCCUAGAGAACUCUCUCUCUCUCUCUCUCUCCUUCACACGGCUCUGGCCAAAACACACACAACUCCAGCCACCUGGCUCUCCCAAUAAGAGAAGACCUUCCUAAGAUCCAAUUAACUAACUUAAGCAUCAGAGGGCCUUUAGUCAACACCCCCUCCCCUUCCCCCUCCCCCCAAGGUGUGGUCCAUUGACCUAGAUUUGUUUUACAUGAAGCGAGAAGGAAGAAGAAGAAAUGAGUUCGAAGGGUGAAGAAGAAAGGAGUUCAAAAGGUGAAGAAUCAAUCUAGAAUAUUCCCAUGUGUGGAUAUUUGCACAAAUAUUUUCGUGCUUUCAUUGAGAGCAUCGAGUUACACUCACACGUUGCUCUCAAAUCAAAGAAAUCUGUUACACUCAAUCAAAGCCUUCCACACAACCAUGGUCAAGAGCAAGCACAUGAGAAGCAAGGUUGUCGCGACAACACAAUCCGUGACAGACCCUAGCCAUCGCGAUGACGCGGUGUCGAUCCAACCAAAAAGCUUCGCAGCCAAAACCACGACUUUUCCUCCCGGCCCCAUGGUCGUGGGUACGACUCUACACGCUUGGCUUUUGAGCUUUUGAGCUCUAUAUAUUAAAAAAUUAGCUUAUCUUGUGACAUGUAUUAUCAAUCUAUAUAUAUAGGGGGUUUUUCGUUCCGGCAGCUACUACGGGCAUGGGCUGUCAUAAACAUCAAAAUGGAUGAAAUUGCCCCUUGAGCCUGAGUUCGAAGAUCAAGCCCCAAGAAUACUUUGAAAGGACAGUAGGGCCUUAGGAAACACCUUGGUUACCUUCACCAACAAAAAUAACAACAGCUUACAGAUAAAUUCUUGGCUUGGCAUGAGAAGCUUGUGGCAUGGGAGCAAAAUUGUCAUGAGUUUAGCACUGAAGAGAAAACUAAGUAUUCCUAGGGGAAAGAUGGGGUAUUAAGGUUGGAGAGAAAGGAUUUUGCAGAGAGGUUUGGUUGAGCAUGAGGAAAAAGAGAGAAAAAUGUGGCUUGAGUGUUUUUCCGGUAGCUUGACAGAGACUCUGUCAAGUGUCAGAAUAGCUUGCCAAGAGGGAAAACUAAGGGAAAAGGAUGAGCUGAGCACGAAAUUGUUGGGUUUUGGGAGUAAGAGAGGAAGCUUGCUCUCUGAUGUGGUUUAUGCUUGUUGGGUAGAAGAGGCCUCUUUUUAUAGCCGCUGGAAGCUGACAUUUUCCAAGAAACCCUAAUGGUUUCUAUCCAAUUUGGCCAAGUCUUUCCCUUCCUUUCUCUCCUUAUUUCUUCAAUCAUCUUAUUUUGGUGAAAUCCACUCUGCCCAUUUGCACAAAAUCAAGGAUUUUUGGGAGCUCAAGGCCCCCUUUCCCGCGGCUGUUUCAGACUCAUAUUUUCAGCCAUCUUUCUUCCUUCUUUUCUCCCCUCUUCCAAGGCUAGGUCUGAUGAGAGAAAGAAAUGGGUAUGCAUGUUGGUUCAAAGGGUGAUUUGCGCUCCAAUAUCCCUUGGUUAUUUGGAAGUUUUUGCUUAAAACUUGUUCCUCCCAUGUGCUGGAGCCUCCUAGCAGCUCUGCAUAGUGGACCUCCAGACUUCCCUUUGUGGCUUCUGUUUUUUUAGCAAGAUGCUGAGGCUUUUGCAAGUUCUUAUUUUAAUUAUAUGGGCCUUCUAGGAUAAUGGGUUGGUUUGUCAAAAUAAAUGGGCUAACCUCAACAAGUGUUGGCCUAUUUUUGUUGAGGUGAUGGGCUAUUUUGGUUGGAGUGAUGGGCUACUUUCCCUUUUGUGCUCACCCAUAUAUUUGGGCCUAAGAAAUGGGCUUGGGUUCUGAGACUCCCAAGCAACCCAGAACCUCCAUUUCUCGCUUCAUUAAUGGGCCUCGUGACAAUUUAUUAUCAUCCAUACCACAACCCACUCAAGCAAGCCCCGGGCAUCUUGAGUGGCUUGGGCCCACUUAAGCUUGUAGCGUGGCAUGUUGCUUAUUUGCUUGGCGUGGUAUGUGUGCAAAGCAUAUAUGACGAACUUUCGCGUGUCCAAAUCGGGUUUUUUUCUUGAUAAGGUAUCGUAUUGGGCCGAGAAUUUAUUUGGGCAGAACCGUAGAUUUUUUGGGCCUCAACAUAUAUACUUAUUUAUUUUUAUUUUUAUUUAUUUAUUAAUUUCUCUUAUUCGGUUGUCCACAUGUUAUUAUCGUGCAGAUGCCAUUGUAAACAAGGAGAAAAAUCAUAGAAGGGUAGUAGAACAUACAUGGUAUCCGCACAAUAAUAACAUCCAAACGUCCACAUAAGAGAAUAUAUAUAUAUAUCAGUCCCCUUCUAUUGAGGGAUCCUAUUAUUCAAUAGAAAAAUACAAUUUCAAAUCCAAAGAUGAAACUACACAAUACUAUGAAGAUCGUGCCACAAAAUCAUGUAAGAACGAACAAAACUGAGCUCGAAAGAAGAGAAAUAAGAUCGAACUGAAGCACAAAAAUUGCUCGCCAAAACUGACCUUGAUUCCGCAUGCAAAAGCAAAAUUACGAAGAAAAUAUAAAAACACAAAACAUAAUCAGAAUAAAAUAGAAAAACUAAGAAAAUCGAACGAAAACAUGCUAGAAGAUCAGAGCUCCAAUCAUAGCUAGACGAACCAAAGCUCCAAAUCUUCAAAGCGAACGAAAACGAAAGCGAACCAGAGCUCCAGUUUCAAAUCGCGCAUACUUUAAACAUACAGGGGUGAAAAAAUCAUUUACUUUGUAAGUUUUAAAGUUGGGCCAGGCUUUCUUAAGAAGAAUGGAAGCAUUGUCUUUUUAGUUAUUAUUUUAAGCUAGACCAAUGAAUUUGGGCCUCCUCUUUGGCCUAAUUCAAAACAACAAUUCAUUCCUAGGUAUUAACCAAACAAAAACAACAAUUUUGCUUUUAUAUAAGGGUAAAGUGUCGUUUUGCCCCUUGAACUAUGGCCUAAUCCAAUCUUUAUAUUUUGGUUGUAGUCCCACCCUCCCCCUCCCUGCAAUAUGGGUUUCUCUUCCCCCGCUUUUUUCUUCUUUUUCUCUGCCAAUUUUUUUUCCUUCUAUUCUUCCUCUUUGUUUCCUUAUCUCCUCUCGUUGUUCAUUUUUUUUGGUGACACAGAGCUUGAGCAGAGGGAGCAAUGGAGGUAUUUGGGUUGUGGGGUUUUCGCUGGCGGAGGAGUAUGGGUUCGGGUGCGAAAAUGGAAACAAUAAAUGGAAUUUGUUUUAUUGUUUAUUUUAAACAAUAAAUGGAAAUACAAAUGGAAGGACUAUAAUUCCCUCAACAAACAAAUCACAUGGCCCCCUAAUCAGUACUUAGACAGAAAUAUAGAUGAAAUCUCAAGAAAUCUAUCGGCAAGUUUUAUAUUGACUAUUUUAAACGAGUAAAAAAAUUAAAUCAAGAGACGAAAUAAUUCAAGAGAGUAAGUUUGAAUUGCCUAAUAAUUUAGGGGGCAAAACGGCUAAAAAUUCUUUAUAUAAUACAUAUAAAUUUCAUUAGCAGCAUGCAAAACGAAGAUUUUAUGUGAGCAUUAUUCUUGACUUGAUGCAUUGCCCAUGGAUUUCUGCUAGCAACCACAUAUCUAUCUGACCAUAUCGUAUCAUAUUUUAUGAAAACGCGGCUUUGACCGUUGACCGAAGUACCAGAGACAGAUUGUAAAGAAAAAUAACCCCAUGCGGAUCAGAGUAAGACAAAAACGUAAUGAGACAACCUCAAGACUCCAAGGAUACUGUGUCUAAUUAAUUAGUACACACUAGGUGUUCCGUAGGCAUAAAUGUACGUAGUGUUUAUACAUUUCUCCUCCGAUGCCAUUAUUUCCCCGCAAAGCCCACGAAAUUGCCUUUUAUCUUCAAUUCAGAGCAUGCAAUUGGCCUUCUCGUCAAUGAUCGCUUGGAAGAAACUCAUUGACAUGUAUCUAUUAAGCUCCUGUCAGACGCGGCUUUGACCUCCAAGUCGUGACAAUAGAAAUGCAGCAGCAGCUUGCUAGCGGAUUGAAGAAGUGUGUCUAAAAAUUUAUCUCUCCAUGGCAAGCACUUGCAGAUUAUGUGUUCUCGUUAUAGUAAGUGUAUUCUUGCUUGGUUUUAGUGCCAUGUUUGUCUAUAUUCUUUAUGGUUUAGUGCGUAUAACUGGUACAUCAAUUACGAAGAGCCCUGAUAAGUGUGUCCCGUCUGCCUGCGGUAACAUCAACAACAUAAUCAGCCCCUUUCGACUAGCCAACGAUACAAAUCAAGGCAACUGCACGAACUGGGAUUACCACUACUACAACCUCUAUUGUGACAACAACCUCACAGUAUUGACAAUAAAUCGGGGAAAAUACUAUGUGCAGGCAAUCAACUACGACAACUUCACAAUCCGAGUUGUAGAUCCUGGCAUUCGCAACAAUGAUUUCUCCUUCAUCCCCCGUUAUUCGCUUUCCAUUUACAACUUAACUUCUCAUCUUCGAUUAGCAUCAAGUACAACACCUAUAACUUUCUUCAAGUGUGCCAAAGCAGUGAACUCAUCUGCGAUGAGUACGUAUAAUUAUGUCAAGCAAGGGACUAUAACGGCAUCAGAUAUGGAGGACGGGUGCAGAAUAGAGUGGACGACUUUGAUGAGUAAGUCGUUCUUGUACGAAACGGACAGAAACUUUUCUUAUCAUGACAUACAUAACGCACUGGGGUAUGGCUUUGAGCUUCAAUUCCGCUUUCUCAAGACCAGCUACAAAUUAGGUUUGUGAUUAUUUGCUAUAUUCCAAGUCUACAAUUUCUUACUCAAACUUUCUGAAUUUCUCCAAAUGUCACUUGUUUAAAACUAUCAUCCAUGACUUUUUUUUAUGCUUUAUUUCUCAUUUUCAAUUCAUUUGUUUUGUUUUGUUUUAAUUGAAAUAAGGCGAUACAGGGUUGAAAAUGAGAAAGCUAUGGAGAAAAUACGUCAAAUAUUCUUUGAAAAUAAAAUUCUCAAAAUUUUAAAUAGAUUUAUUACUUGUAUUUUGUCUGGAUAAUUUAGGGCAUGUUUGGUGUUCAACUUAAAUCCAACUUUUUAGACUCAAAAACAAAAUUUGAGUCCAAAACAAAGAAAACCUGUUUGGUAGCCUUAUUUUUAAAAACUCACACUCAAGAACAACUAAAAAACACCUCAAUUAUUAAAAACAACAAAUAUCUGUUUUUUCAAUUUUUUUAACAACCCACAAGUUCUCAAAUUUUUAACAUUUGAAAACAGUUUCAAUACCAAACAAGUUUUUGAAUCAUAAAAAUAGAUUUAAGAACUCCUUGUUUUUAAGAAAAAUCAAAGUUUUUGAGUUCCCUAUUUGAAUAAGAUACCAAACGCCCCCUUAAAUUCCCUUAUCUCUUCUUCACCUUCCUCAUAUGAUGUAGUCUGCUAAUUAGUCUUAGUCAACCAUUAAGCAGGGCUGGGAUAUAUAUACAUAUUCCUUCGAAAUUUCAAACUUAUCGUCAAGUCUUUGAUUUUAGUUACUUUUUUCUUGUAUCUACUGCAGGUAUUUACAGUUGGCUGAGAUUAGGUAAGAGUUUGCAUAUUCCUUUAGUGCAGAAUUGUAUUUCCUAUUAGUCAGUAGAAAAAAACAAAUGGAAGCAAAGAGGAAGGUUAUGACGCACAUAUACUUAUAAGUAAAUUUAGGUUUUACCCAUAAAAAAACUUUCACUUUUGGAAAAAGUCAAAGCUUUUUCAAAAAAGACAGAAUAACCUCUCAACUUUCAAACCAAAGACAUGCAAAUGUAAAGGAUUCCUUAGGAAAUUAAAAAAUAAAUAAGGGCAAUUUUGUCCAUUUUGGCUUCUUUUAAAAAUUUUCUCUCUCCUUUGGGCUUUUCCAAAGUCUCCCCUAUAUUAUAUCCAAUAAAGCAUGUCAUUUGUGAUUCUUUUUGUGAUGUUGCUUUGCAGGAGCAUUUUUCCUAAUAAGAUCUAUAUUUGGGGUUCCAUUUCUGGCUGCUCUUCUAAUCUACAAACGACGAAGAAUGCAUUUGUCAAUGUAUAGCAACAUAGAAGAUUUCCUGCAAAGUUAUAACAAUCUCAGUCCAAUAAGGUACUCUUACUCAGAUAUUAAAAAGAUUACCAAUAGAUUCAAUGAGAAGUUGGGUAAAGGAGGUUAUGGCUCUGUAUUUAAAGGAAAGUUACGCAGUGGCCGAUUUGUAGCAGUUAAAAUGUUGGAGAAGCCUAAAGCUAAUGGACAAGAUUUCAUAAGUGAGGUAGCUACUAUUGGGAGGAUUCACCAUUUUAAUAUGGUUCAACUUGUUGGUUAUUGUGUUGAGGGAUCAAAGCGUGCCUUAAUUUAUAACUUCAUGCCAAAUGGAUCUCUUAAUAAAUAUAUUUAUUGCAAAGAAGGAAGUAACCCCUUAAGUUGCAGGAAAAUGUAUAAGAUUUCUCUUGGAGUGGCUCAAGGAAUCGAAUAUCUACAUCGAGGUUGUGACAUGCAAAUUCUACAUUUUGAUAUCAAGCCUCACAAUAUUCUUCUUGAUGAGAAUUUCAUCCCAAAGAUUUCUGACUUUGGGCUUGCAAAGCUAUAUCGGUACGUAAUACCAUUGUCUCUUUGACGGCAGCAAGAGGAACAAUGGGAUACAUGGCUCCUGAGUUGUUCUACAAAAAUAUUGGAGGCCUCUCAUGUUAAGAUUUCAGAAGGACGGACUCUUGGCCCACCACUAGCAACAUCGAUAUUGUCCCCAACUUAACCACCUGUUUAGCAGGUGUGGGGUUUUAUACAAAAGGCCUCAAUGUUAUUAGGAGUGGAACCAUUUAUUAUAUGGGACUUUCUAUUUUGUUGGGUUUCUGAUGUGGGACUCGUGUAUUCUUCAACAUUCCUCAGUUGACGUGAGUCUCCUAAUUAAACAAGGAGAUUUAUUUCCUUGAUUAAUUAAGGGAUUUACUUUCCUAUUUUUUAUAUAAGUGAUAAAUCAUUGUACAAUUAGGAGAUACUUUCCUAAUUCUUUACUAUAUCUAAUUCCUUAUAAAACCCUCAUAUGUAAACUCCUAUAUAUACCUCCUUAAGGAGAAGAAUAAAAUACAACCUAAUACAUUCAAACCAUAUUCAUAUUUUAGCGUGGUAUCAGAGCAAUCGAUCCUCGGUUGUCUCUAAAUUCUCAUAUCACAUUUCUUCAAACACAGAUUCUAAAACCUCAUAUCAAAUUUCUUCAACCUCAAACCCUAAAUUAUAUUCCUCAUCUUUAUCUUUCCCAAAUUCAGAUCUCCAUACACAUAUCCCUCAUACCUUUCAAUUCCUAAACACAUAUUUUUUAUCCUUCCACUACCAUGGAUACCGUCUCGAUUUUCGAACCCACCAAAUCCACUCCACCAUCCUCCCAAAUUGUUACUAUUUAUAGUGACAACACUCUGUUUCUGACCGGCAUCAUCUUGACUUAGACCAAUUAUGCCUUAUGGUCUCAGGUCAUGGAGAUGUGUAUUGCUGCCCGAGAAAAUUUGGGGUACCUCACCAGGGACACCCCGCAACCUUCUAAGCUCUCCUCCACCUACUCAAAAUGGUGUACGGAGAACUUUCGGGUGAAGGGGUGGCUCAUUGACUCCAUGUCUCCCGACUUGAUGAGUCGUUUCACCCGUUUAAGUACCGCCAAAGAAAUCUGGGAUGCCGUGAAGAAAACGUACUUUGAUGGUGGGGAUGAAACUUUCCUUUUUGAUCUCAACAAACGGUCGUUCACCAUUAAACAGAAUGGUGCCCCUGUCCACAAAUAUUACAGCCAGCUGCAGACCAUCUUUCAGGAGAUUGAUCACCGCACUCGCAAUCGCAUGCAAUGCGACGCCGACGUGACUGAACGUCAGACCGAACUAGAUUCUCUUCUUGUUCACCUGUUUCUUGCCGGGCUCGGCCCUCAGUUUGAUCAAGUCCGGGGGGAAAUCUUGAGCAAAGAACCUAAAAUAGACCUUGACCAAACCUUUGCAUAUGUCCGUCACAAAGCUCAACAACGACUAACCAUGACCAGUACUCCAGACACUGUUGUCCUAGCCACCCAACGUCCACAGGGUCCUCCGACUUCUACCACUGUUGCUUCUCAGACUCAAGUCACAAGCUCUCAUCUGGAAUGCAAAUGCACUCACUGUGGUGGAAGCAAACAUACUCGUGCUUGCUGUUACGUAUGGAUUAGUUACCCGGCUUAGUGGGACCACUCCAAAGCUCCGCGCAAGAAUAAGGGAAAAUCACUCAACACAUUUUCUGACUAGCUCAUGUUAUUCCUGCAGUUCCAACAGCACUAACUCCUGCCUCUGCCUCUGUAGCCACAACAGGACAUCCAUAGCAGCAAGACGAUUGGUUGUGGUACUAGGAGGGGCAAACUCUAUAAAAAAAAUAAAAAAUAAAUUAAAGGGAUUGAAAGGGCUAUGUUUAUUGACGUAUCCCAAUUACCUUGACGUAUUCCCAAGAAGAUGUUGCUUAUUUCUUGACUCUGACGACCCCUUCUCUUCAAAGGGAGAAGGGGAGUGAAGAGAAGUUGUUUUGUCUCUAAACCCUGAUCUCAAAUUUCUUCAAAUUUCUCAUAUUCAAAUCCAAAACCCUAAAUCAAAUUCCUCUUUUUUUUUUCCCCAAAUCCAAAUCCCUAAACACAUACCAUCAAAUCUUAUACACAUUCCUCUUAAAUCCAAUUCCUACAUCAAAUUCAUACAUCAAAUUUCUCACAUCACCUUCCUCACCUUCUCAUAUCACAUCUUACUUCCGCUGCGAUGUCAGGAAUCCAUAUGAUUCUCCAUCUUAUUGCAGACUCACAGAAGCAUGCGGUCAAUCCUGCUGACCUGACUACCUAGACUCCUUCUUCUAUCACCACCACCAAAGGUUCUACUCUUCAUACGUCCUCCAAGAUCAGAUAUUGCAUAUGCUAUGAGUGUAGAAGAGUAUUUCAUGACUCACUUACCAAGUUGGGCAUUAGUGACAUAUAUGCACCAACUUGAGGAGGAGUGUUGACCCGAGUCUCCUAAUUAAUCAAGGAGAUUUACUUCCUUGAUUACUUAAGGGAUUUACUUUCCUAUUUUUUUGUAUAAGUGAUAAAUCAUUGUACAAUUAGGAGAUACUUUCUUAAUUCUUUACUAUAUCUAAUUCCUUGUAAAACUCUCAUAUGUAAACUCCUAUAUAUACCUCCUUAUGGAGAAGAAUAAAAUACAACCUAAUACAUUCAAACCAUAUUCAUAUUUUAGCAUCUCAUACAAAGCUGAUGUCUAUAGUUUUGGAAUGUUGUUGAUGGAAAUGGCAAGUAGAAGGAAGAAUUUGAACACAUCCAUAGAGCACUCAAGCCAAAUUUAUUUUCCUCUUUGGGUCUCAAACCAAUUUUGCAUGGGCAAAGAGUUUGAGAUAGUUGAUGCUACAGAAGAGGAAAAGAUAAUAAUAAAAAAGAUGAUUAUAGCUACUUUAUGGUGUAUAAAAUUGAAGCCAAGCGAUCGUCCUUCGAUGAACAAAGUUAUAGAGAUGCUUGAGGGAGAGGUUGAAUGCUUGCAACUCCCUCCCAAGCUUCUUUUAUGUCCACAACAAGAGACGCCCAGAGACAAUCUUUAUGGUAAUUCGAAUCCAAUGUGUUCUAACACAGACCUAACAAGUAGUACUCUAUCAGCUAGGUGAUGAGUAGGACUCAACUAGAGUUUCAACUUUAAUUGCAGUUUUAUUAUUAUUUACGCUAAUAAGGAAAAUAUAUGGGUUCAAGUUGCAUACAUUAAAACUACGUUUUUAUUUUGAACUAAUACUUAUGUGGUUUUGCUCCUCUGCCACCACAAGCAUCGCCCUCGUUGUCAUAAUCAUUACCACCUCCGCUGGGUCAUAUCUCAUAUAUUGAUUAUUAUAUUAUUAUUAUUAUUAUGAGAAAAUGCUAAGGACAUCAGCUUUAGUAAAAAUUUAUAUGUAAUGAGUAUAACACUAUUUUACUAUCUCGAACCAAUAACACAGUGACAUAUGGAAAAGUUAUCAUAUGUGUCAUUACGUUAUUAGUUGGGAAUAGUAAAAGUGUUAUCAAGUUACACAAGAGUUUCCCUUCCAUCUUUAGAGACUAACUUGUAUAUCCUCUCUAAUAGAGAUGGAAUAAUAUAUGGUAUUAUUGGGCUCCACCUCUAUUGAAGAGAUGGUACACAAGUUGAUUGAAAUAAAAUUUAAAUAUUAUAUUUAAAUGUCUCUUAUGAUUGAAAAAGAUCCUUGAGCGACAGCCAUUGUCCCCCACUUCAAUUUUCCGAGCAUGGAAUUGGCCUUUGCACCAAGGAUCGCAUGGAAGAAAGUCAUUAGCAAUAUGCAAAAUGAAAAAGAUGAUCAGCAAAUGCUUGAGGCCACUAAGUAAUGACAAUAAAGCACCACACAAACUGCAAAGGGAAGCAUUCAAAUGCAAAGGAUCAGUGAAUUGAAGGAAUGUCUUAAAAUCUCUUGGCAAAUCCUUAUGUGCCUUUCUGGUAAUAGAAAUUGCAGUUUCUCUUGUUCUUGGUCCAGUGUUUUGCCUUUUGCUUGCUUCUCAAUUAAUCUACGAAUCUACUACUGCUAAGCACAAUAAGGGCAAUGGAAAGUGCAUUUCAUCUUCCUGCGGUGACAUUCACAACAUAAUCUACCCUUUUCAGCUAACCAAUGGUCCAAAUAAAAGAAACUGCGCAAACAACCUCACCGUAUUGCACUUGUAUUCGGGGAAGUACUACGUGCAGACAAUCAAUUAUGACAACUUCACCAUCCAAGUUGUAGAUCCUGGCAUUCGCAUCAAUAAUUUCUCCUCCGUCCCCUGCUAUUCGUUGUCCCAUUACAACUUCACUUCAUUUUUCGAAUUGUAGUCUCCCUCCCCUUUAAGUACCACACCUAUAACUUUCUUCAAGUGUGCAAAGGCACUGAACUCAUCAUCUAUGUAUAAGGACACUACUAUUAUUCUGUGCACUAAUUGUAUUUCAUGUUGGUUCUCUGAAUCUUCAAGCAUGUGCUUUGUAGCGAUUCCUUCAAGCAACUAAUGAGUAAGAUAUUUUCACAGCAAUAAGCAUGUGCUCUGUUGGCAAUGACAGAUUAAUCUUUGUCCAUCUUUUACAAUAAAAGAUACAAAAUUAUUUACAGAGAACUUUGAGGAAGCUAUUAAAAAAAGGGCUUGUAGAAUAGAGGCUUGACAUUUUAUUGUUUUAAAUUCACAGGUUGCUCACUCUAAUUUUUUAUUGAACUUGGAGUUGGAAAAAAAAAAAAAAAAAGCAUUGAUUUAAUAUAGGUGUCCACUUCCAGAGAACUAUGAACAUAGAUAUAAAAAAAAAUUAAAAAAAUUAAAAAGAAAAGAUAGAAGAAAAGAGAGGUAAAAAAUAGAAGUUAGCUAAGUUGAACCAGUAAGCACAUUUCGGCCCAGUCGAGUAAACCCAACCCUUACCCGGCUCAUUUUUUUUUUCUCCUAAUUGAAGCUUGGUCCGGCCCAAACCUAGUAAAUUUAGGGUUUAGGCUGGUAGCAGCCCACCAAAUAUUCUAAGCUUUCUCACAUGAUUUGCAAAGAUGGCAUGUGUCAUCAUUUCCCCGCAAAGCCCACGAAAUUCCCCAAAGAAUCUUCAACAGGCCAUCGUCCCCCACGUAGGGACUAUAAUGGCAUCAGAUAUGGAAGACGGGUGCAGAAUAGAGUGGACGACUUUGAUGAGUAAGUCGUUCUUGUACGUAAAGGACAAAAACUUCUCUUAUCAUGACAUACACAGCGCACUGGGGUAUGGCUUUGAGCUUCAAUUCCGCAUUCCCAUAAUCAGUUCAGGUUUGUGAAUUACUUGCUAUAUUCCAAGUCUACAAUUUGUAACUCGAAAAUUUCUGAAUUUCUCCAGAUGUCACCUGUUUAGAUCUAUGAAUUUUUGUUGUGCUUUAGUUCCCAUUUUAAAUCAAGGUAUGUUUAUAUUUGUUUUUGUUUAGUUUUACUUCAGGCAUAUGUGAAAUAUUAUUUGAAAAUAAAAAUCAUAUCAAUUUUAAAUAAUAAUUUUAUUACUUGUAUUUUGUCUGGCUACUUUAAUUCCCUUCUCUCUUCUUCACCUUCCUCAUAUGAAGUAAUCUACUGAUUAGUCAACCAUUAAGCAGGGCAGAGUAUAUAUAUAUCUGUGCUUCGAAAGUUCAAUGUCAAGCCUUUCAUUUUAGUCACUUUUUCUUGUAUAUUUACGGUUGGCUGAUAUUCGGUAAUAGUUUGCAUAUUCCUUUAGUGCAGAAUUGUAUUUCCUAUCAGUCAGUAGAAGGGAAAAAAAAAAAAGGAAGAAGUAAAGAGGAAGGUUAUGACGCACAUAUAUUAUAUCCAAUAAAGCAUGUCAUUUGUGAUUCUUUUUGUGAUGUUGCUUUGCAGGAGCAUAUUUCCCAAUAAGAUCUAUAUUUGGGGUUCCAUUUCUGGCUGCACGUCUAAUCUACAAACGGCGAAAAAUGCAAGAAAGGAAAAGAAGUAUGGGAUGGAAUAGCAAACAAGAAGAUGGAAUUCACAUGCUUGUAAGGUGUCAUCCACUCCGAAGAAGCUCAAAUUCAAUGCAUAUUAUCUAAAAGAUGAUGAAAGUCACAAGGAAAGGAAGAAAAAGAGAAAACAAUUCAACAAUGGAACUGAUUCCAACCACACUAACAUAGGCAAGAUGAAGUGGGAGUUAGGUAUUGCAUUAAAAUAGGAAUGAUGGUAUUGGAAUCAUCAUGAUGUUUCUCCUUCUUAGCCCUAAAUAGAGAAGUCUUCAAGCUUCAAAAUAGACACCAAGUUCACAAUCUUCUCUUAGCUCUCUCUCCUUCCUCCAAUUCUUCUAGUUCUAAAUUUCUGUUUUUGUUUUAUUUUAUGGGGAACUAACUCCCUAGCUAAGGAUAGGGAGAAAGCUUUUAAUAUGAGUGUGUAUAAUUUUUAUUAGUUUGAUCCAAACUUAAGCUUUAAUGUGAAUUUGUAGUUUUUGUUCAAAAUGGAAUUUGUAGUUUUAUUUUUAAUUCAUUGAUGAAUGUUUGAUAAUCUAUUUCAUGGGUUCAAUUAUGUUUUUCCCAUUGUGUAGUAAAAACUUUCAUGUUCUUAAAAGAGAAGAGAAUCACUAAAGAUUAAUAAAAUUUCGAUGAAGAUUAUUUUUUUGAUAAUUUGUUGCCAAUGGUACAAGUUAUGUUUAGAAUACUUCUAAAUGAAAUUAAAAAGAGCUUUAGUUAUUUUGAACAACUACAAUGGAAAAUAUUUUGUGGAUCAAAUUGAUAAGAGUUGCAUGCUUAUGUUAAAAGUGGAAUCCCAAUGCCUUAGUGUUUUAAUCAAUUGAUUUUUCUUUAAAUUAAAUCUUGCAUAAAUCUACUUCUCAUUCUUAAUUGUUCUAUCUCAACUCUGUUAUUUUCUUUACACCGCUCUCUGUGGAUACAACACUCAGACUUCCGAGCUACACUACUAUACGACACAUUUGCUUGGGUUUUGCAAAGUGGUACUAACAUUUCUAAAGCGUCAUAAAGGUAAAUUGACAGCUUUAAUUAUUUAUGUUGAUAAUAUGAUUGUGACUAGAGAUGAUCAGGCAGAAAUGCAAAAUCUUCAGAAGUAUCUGGCUUUCGAGUUUGAGAUGAAGUCAUUGGGUGAUUUGAAGUACUUUCUUGGGAUUGAAGUUGCCAGAUCUAAACAUGGUAUCUUUUUGUCUCAAAGAAAGUAUAUUUUGGAUUUACUUGCAGAGACUGGAAUAUUAGAUUGUAAACCAAUUGAUACCCCUAGUGAACAGAAUCAUAAGUUGAGGUUGUAUCCUGAUCAAGUCCCUACAGAUAAUGAGCGUUAUUAACGACUUGUGGGGAAAUUGAUUUAUUUAUCUCAUACACGUCCUGAUAUUGCAUAUGCAGUGAGUGUAGUGAGUCAGUUUAUGCAUUCUCCUAGUAAAGAUCAUAUGGGUGCUGUGAUGCGCAUUUUGAGGUAUCUGAAAGUUACUCCUAGAAAGAGGUUAAUGUUUUGCAAGUAUGGUCAUACAGAUGUGGAAAGGUAUAUGGAUGCUAAUUGGGCUGGUUCAGUCACUGAUAGACGUUCUACGUCUGGGUAUUUCACAUUUGUUGGUAGUAAUCUUGUUACUUGGAGGAGUAAAAAGCAAAAAGUGGUGUCUAGGUCUAGUGCGAAGACCGAGUACUGCAGGAUGGCUUAGGGUGUAUGCGAGUUACUAUGGUUAAGAAGAUUGUUGAAAGAUCUUGGGUUUGGACCCCAUAAACCCAUGGAUUUGUAUUGUGAUAAUAAAGCUGCAAUUGCAAUUGCGCAUAACCCUGUCCAACAUGAUCGUACAAAGCACAUGGAGGUUGAUCGACAUUUUGUUAAAGAUAAGUUGGAUGCUGAAAUUAUUUCUUUUCCGUUUAUAUCAUCUGAGUAUCAACUGGCAGAUGUUCUUACAAAAGCUGUGUCUACUACAGUCUUUCUCAACUCGCUUGACAAGUUGGGCAUGCGUGACAUCUUUGCUCCAACUUGAGGGGGAGUGUUAGCGAAAUCCUAGCUUAAAUAGGAUAUAUUUUCUAGUUUAUUAGGACUAUAUUUCUUUCCUUUUGUACAGAUAUUGUGUAAUUAUGAUUUUAUCUUGUUUCCUAGUUUGACCUUGCUAGGGUUUCAUUCUUGCACUAUAAAUACCUCCUUUUAAAGAAUGAAAUACAACCUGAAAAAUAUUCUACCUAUAUUGUUUGACUAAUUCAGAGCAUGCAAUUGGCCUCGAUGAUCACUUGGAAGAAAGUCAUUGGCAAUAUGCAAACGCAUGUCCAUGGAUUUGGCAUAUACCUAUCGAGCUCCUAUCAAACGCGGCUUUGACCUCUAAGUUGUGACAAUAUGCACCACACAAAAUGUAAAGGGCAACAAUUUUGAAUUGACUCGCAAUGAAAAUGCAGCAGCUGCGGGACCAAAGCUAGUGGAUUGAAGAAGUGUGUCUAAACACUUCUCUCUAUCCAUCCUUAUGUGUUCUCGUUAUAGCAAUUGCAUUAUUUCUUGUUCUUGGUGUCGGUUUUGGCUAUAGUCAGAGCAUGCAAUUGGCCUUCGCGUCAAUGAUCACUUGGAAGAAACUCAUUGGCAAUAUCCAAAAGCAGGUCCAAGGGAUUGGCUUGGCAUAUAUCUAUCAACCUCCUGUCAAACGCGGCUUUGACCUCUAAGUCGUGCAAUAGAAAUACAGCGGCUUCUUGCCCAAAGCUAGCUAGCGGAUUCAAGAAGUGUGUCUAAAAAUUUCUCUCUCCAUGGCAAGCACUUGCAGAUUAUGUGUUCUCGUUAUAGCAAGUGUAUUAUGGCUUGGUCUUUAUGGCUUGUUUGCCUAUGUAAUUUUUCUUGGAUUAAACCAUAUAACUAGUACAUUAAUUAUUAGGAAGAGCCAUGGUAUUCCGUCUGCCUGCGGUAACAUCCACAACAUAACCUAUCCCUUUCGACUGGACAACGAUCCAAAACCAAACAACUGUGCCGGCAGGCGAUGGUAUCUUGACCUCUCUUGCGACAAUAACCUCACAGUGUUACACUUAUAUUCCGGAAAGUUUUACGUGCAGGCAAUCAACUACGACAACCGCACAAUCCGUGUCGUGGAUGCCGGCAUUCGCAGCGACAAUUUCUCCUCCAUCCCCCAUUAUUCGCUGGCCCCUUACAACUUCAGCUCUUUCGAUUCGUGUUUUCCAUCACCAUCAACUACCACACCUGUAACUUUCUUCAAAUGUACAAAAGCAGUGAAUUCAUCUUCUAUGACGAGUACGUAUGAUUAUGUGAAGGGAGGCAAUAUAACGACGUCGGAUUUGGAGGAUGGGUGUAGAAUAGAAUGGACCACUAUGGUGAGUACGUCGUUGUACAGAAAGGACCGAAACGUUUCGUAUCAACACAUACACAACGCACUGGUGUAUGGCUUUGAGCUUCAAAUCAACGUUCGGCGCUUCGUGAUUACAGGUUUGUGAGUUACUUGCUAUAUUUCCAAGUCUAUACUUUUUGUACUCAAACUUUCUGAUUUCUCCAAAUUAUUUCACUUGUUUAGAUCUUUGACUUUUAAAUUUCCGCCUUAUUUCACCUUUUCGAGCAAGGUUCAUAUUUCUUUUUGUUUAAUUUUUAUUCAAAUAAGACAGAGAAAAUACACAAGGGAGGGGAGAAAAUGAGGAAAAUAGAUGAAAUAUUUCGAAAAUAAAAUUUUAAAAAUUUUAAAUGGUUUUGUCAUAUAAUUUUAAUUUUGUCUGGCAAAUUUAAUUCCCUUCCCUCUUCUUCACCUUCCUCAUCAUAUUAGGAACUUAGAACGAGAUUCUUUCAGUAUUUCAAGUUAGUUGAUGCUAAAAUAUUAAAACUAUGAGAGAAUAUUUGUUUGUGGGAAUUUUCUGUGUAUUCACUACUACAAAAAGUGAAAAAGACGACCAGAAAACAACGACGGUCUAAGUGAAAACCGUCGUGGUUUAUAAAAAGACGACGGUUCUAAAAACACCGUCGUGUAAUACAACCUUAGACAACUAAAAAAUGGAGUUUCAAAUGGCUGUUCAAAAACAACGACGUACAUAAUUAAACAACCGACGUCUAUUUGAAACAGAUUUCCUCAGUGUAAAAUCAAUGCCAACAAAGAACGGCAGAAGUUAUGAAUCGACCGACGUAGAAAGUAAAGACGACGAUUUCAAUAAAAACUGCCGUUUUUACUCAUAAAAUAACACGACGAGGUUUUCGUAUAAGACGCCGUAUAAUUACAAACAAAUCCACGGCUUUAAAAUACAAAAUAUCGCCGUAUUAAAUUAAUUUACAACGACGGAAAAUAUAAAUAUAUCGACGUCAUUCUCGUAUAGUUCUACUACGUUAUCUUUAAAUCGUACAAUAAAAUUUAUCGUCGUAUUUAUUCAUUUUAUACGUCGUACCUUUAAUUUUAACGGUCGUCUUAAUAAGAAUUUUUGUUAACAAUUUUUUUCUUUGAUUUUCUUAUCCUACGUCGGUAGAUCUACUUAAUGACAAGAAUUGAAAUAACCACGACGGUUUAUAUAGAACACCGCCGACAUAAUCAGUUUUGUCUGAGAUCCCAAGGGUUACGAAAUCUUACCAGAUGGAACUCUGUUCCACAUCAUAAUCUUAACAGAUGACACAGAUUUGCAAAUAUUGCGUCGUGUUAGUUUACAAAUUCUAGAACAUUAAUUUCCCUCAUUUUAAAUUUCCUCGGGAAAGAAAAAUCUAUUUAUCACGCUUUGGAAUUGAAAACUAAAACUGAAAGAAUACGGGAAAAAAAACUCCAUUUAUAAUUUAAAAUUAAAAUCCACGUCGGUUGUAGUACACUUAACGACGUUUAACAAAAUAAUCUACGUCGGUAAUUAUAAAUCUACCGCCAUCGUAACUUAAUAUAGACGACGAGAAAAGACGACGGUAGAACAGAAAACCGCCGUUGUUUCAGUUUCUUUAACAUAUCUUUCUGCAGGACUUGUGUAGUUCAAAGCAUUGACAAUGUCUUCAUCAUAUCUCCCAGAAACUACUGAUUCAAUUGCUCAUGCUUUAGAGGCCAUCUGAAGCCAUUUCUAUUCUUUAUCGCAUUCUUGAAACCCAUCUUCUUCUUCUGAAGCUCUACGGAUAAAGGAAGAGGCUAUCACAAUAAAUCCGACGGAUCUUCUUAGGCAAGAAAAUCAAGCAGAGGAUCAGGCACAUCUGAUCUUCAGAUUUCCCUGAGAAGCGAACUUUCCUUCGACAGCGAGUGGAGGCCAGGCUUGCAUCUCUUUUGAUGGAAAGCAAGGAGUAUUCAGAAGCACUAAGUGUCCUAUCAGGCUUGAUCAAGGAAGUGAGAAGGCUAGUUGACAAGCUUCUUCUUGUGGACAUAUAUUUGAUGCGAGUAAGCUCAAUUUCUCUUUGAGAAAACAUCCAAAUUAUUAUCUUUGAGACAUGAGAGACUGAGAGAGGAAGAACUUGGAACCUUAAAUGUAAACCGAAAAUGAAUGAAAGCGACAAAUUUAUAGAAUAAAUUUUUAAAACCAACGGCGGUCCUUACAAACAAACCGCCGUUUAAAUUGUAAAAUCAACGUCGGUAUGAUCGACGUAUAUUACAGAAAUCCACGUCGGUAAAUUAAUAAAAACGACGUGUUAAAUAAUAUACCAUGACGCGAGUUAUUACUUAUGUACUUUAAUUUUUGAGUUUACUACGACGGUACCUACAAACUACUGUCGUAUUUAUUUACCACGUCCGAAGUUAAAUGUACCGUCGUAUUUUGUAAUUUAUACGUCGUAGUUAUAUGUAACCGCCAUAUUAUUUUUUUGAAAUGGUUUUAUAUGUAAGCAACUUUUCGUCUACUUGACUUACACAUUUGUUGUUUUUAUAUUCUUAUUUUAUUUAAAUCUGUCAUCCAAAAAAGAAACUUUACAUAUUGCAGAAUAUUAAUUUCCUUCGUUUUAAAUUUCCUCCGGAAAAAAAACUCUAUUUAUAACGCACUGUAAUUGAAAAAUAAACUGAAAGGUCACGGGAAAAAAAAUUCUAUUCAUAAUUUAAAAAUUAAAAUCCACGUCGGUUAUAUUAAACCUAACGACGUUAAAUGAAAUGAUUCCACGUCGAAUGAAAAAUAUUGCGUCGUUUUAGUUAAAAACGACGUAGUUAAAUGUAACCGCCGUAUUAUUUUUUUGAAAUGGUUUUAUAUGUAAGCAACUUUUCGACUUACACAUGCACUGUUUCCAAACCCGAUUAAAAAUUUCAAUCUCCCAGAGAAACCUUUUCGUCUUUUUUCCUUGUCAGAGCAUUGUCAGAGUUUCUCAUCGUCUUCCUCUCGUCUUCUUCGUCGUCUCUGAACUUAAACAUCGAUCAUCUUCCUCUUGCUUUCAUUGCACGCAAAAGGUAAGCUUUCAUUUUCACUAUUUUGGUUACUGUUUUGCAUGCUCAUACGUUUUUUGUUUGAAAAAUCUUUUUACCUUUUUUCUGGCCAAAAUCAUUUUACUUCUUUCCAAGUUUGAUAAAAUAUACAGACAAAGAGAGAAAGUUUCCAACUUUGAAGACAACUACAUCAACUAAAUAAGACGACGGUAGACCACGACGGUUCGUCAGUUGUUCUAGCGUCGUCUGAAAAUUGACAAAGUUGUUUUUAAAAUAAUAGUCUUUUUUUAUAUGCUUGUUUAAUUGCAGGUUUGAUUUCGCUGAACAAUGGUUUUUGUUUUUCCCUUAUUUGAUAAAAUAUAAAGAAAAAGAAACUAGGGUUGGUAUCUAAUAUAGACGAUAAAAUAUAAAUAAUAGUUUACCACGACGGUGUAUUACUAUUGACGUCGUGUGAACAUAUAUACCACGACGUUAUAUAAAUAAUGGUUUUAAACAUUUAUUACGUCUGAGAUUAUUUCAUUGCGUCGUCUAAAAUCAUAUCAUACGUCGUAUUUUUUUAAUACCGUCGUUUGUGUUCUUAAUGUUUUCCUGAAAUAUUUUCACUUGCAGUUUUGUCUGUUAAAAUGGUUUCUCAACAACAAACUAAGGAUUCUGGCUCCAAGAAGCUUGGAAUGGUAGCUCCUCAAGAUAAGUCUUCGAAGGAGAUGAAGUCUUCGAAGAAGAUGAAGUUUGCUUCAUCAUCUGCUGAGACAGAACAAACCAGCCAGACAACAAUCUCAGAUGAUUCAAAGACUGGUCGAGGUAUGAGCACAAUGCCUCGUGUUGUGAAGAGAAAGCUUCAGAAACUGAGGCCAAUUGUUGAGUACAAUAAAAGGGGGAAAGGUGUUGGCCAAGCACAUAUUGAGAUGCAGUCGUAUAUUGGUGUGUUGGCACGCUCCAGGAUCCCACUUGUGGACAAGAAAUGGUCCCAAAUCCCCAAGGAUAUAAAGGAGCAGAUUUGGGAAGCAGUUGACAUGGCUUUUGUCGUAGGCCAAGGGGGCAAGACCUCUGUUUUAGCUUCUGCUUCCAAGAAAUGGAAGGAUUUCAAGUCUACACUAACGAGGCAUUAUAUCCUUCCAUACACCAAUGACAGGGAGAAAUUAAGCCAACCCCCUGAAACAUAUAAAUUCAUAGAGAAAGCACAAUGGGAUGCCUUUGUAGCUUCAAGGCUAUCCAAAGAUUUUGAGUCUGUGCAUUCUCAACAUGCACAGAUUAGGGAGAAACUCGAGUACAAUCAUCGAUUGUCUCGAAAAGGAUAUGCUGGAUUGGAGGAUCAAUUGGAGGAAACCAUGCCUGGGGUAGAAAUUGAUCGAUCUACCUUAUGGAAGAGAGCUAGACAGGACAAACAUGGUAACAUCCCUGAUCCAAAGGUGGCAGAGAAAGCAAAAUUAAUUGUAAGCCUACUAUCACUCUGUUUUAAAUUUUUAUUAAACUGUGAAUUAUUCUUAUUACGUCGUAUGUUAUAUUUUUCGUCGUGUGAAUGAUAUUACCACGUCGAAAAGUUUUUAAAAACGUCGUUAAAGGUCUAAAUAGGAAUCACUACUAUGUUUUCUGUAAUUACAGCAUAAGACGUCGGUGGUUCAUUUUCGCGUCGUGUGAAUGAUAUUACCACGUCGAAAAUUUUUUAAAAACGUCGUUAACGGUCUAAAUAGGAAUCACUACUCUGUUAUCUUUAAUUAUAGCAUAAGACGUCGGUUGUUUAUUCAUUUCGUCGUUUUAAAUAAAUAACCACGUCGGUAUAACUACCGUCGUGAUAAGUUAUAAUAACGUCGGUUUAUACGUUAUUGCGUCGUGUGAAAUUAUAUAAUACGUCGUUUGUACAUAAAUAACCGUCGUGUGUUUUUUUGUUUAUCUUUUUUUAGGAUGAAUUGCAGAAACAAGUCUCGGAAGGCAAAGUCAGAGUAGAUGGCAGCAAUGAUGUGCUGACCAUGGCUUUGGGCCCCGAGCAUCCAGGCAGACUGAGGGGAGUUGGUGCUGGUGUUUCCCCAAGGCAAUAUUUCAAUUUGCCCAAACCACAGAGGGUGAGCUUUGACGACCGUUUGAAGGACAGUUUAAGAGUUCUCCUUCAAGAAGAGACUAAAAAGAUGGAGGCUAAGGCAAGGGAAGAGGCCUUAAGGAUGGAGGCUAGGACAAAACAAUUGGUAGAGGCUGAGAGGGAGCAUUUCCUGAGUCAGCUUUCCCAAUUAAUUCCCAAUUUUGAUCCAAGCAUGCUUAAACCAAGAAUUAGCCAAAGCCCCAAAAAUCCAAUGUCUGACAAAGCUAGCUGCUCUGGAGGUGAUGUGAGAUCCCUACAUUUGGAGGAUGAUACUGCCAAAAUGGGGAAACAUCAGCCAGAUGAAGAGAAGGAAGAAGAAAAAAGAGAUGAAGAGAAGGAAGAAGAAAAGGAGAAAGAAGAUGAAGAAAAGCAUGACGACAAGGUAUGUUCACAUAACUUUGCCUUUUUUAUUUGUUUUUCAAAAUUUCAGACGUCGAUAUUUUUAUUUAAUCCGUCGUUUGUUUAAAACUUAGACGGCGGAAUUUUUUUAAGACGUAAUAAAAUAUUUAAACGACGGUUUUUGCACCGUCGUUUAAAUGGUUUCAGACGACGCUUUAUUCAUAAAACCGUCGUCUUUAUUGAAUUACCACGACAGUUUUUUCACCGUCGUUUAAAUACUUUUAAGACGACGUUUUAUUACUUAAACCGUCGUCUUUAUUGAAUUACCACGUCAUUUUUUUUAUUUCUUUAAACAGGUUAUUGAAGUUGGUGCUUAUUCAAAUAUGGAGGCGCCAUCUUCUUUAAAAACCCUUUGUCGUUUUGUGGAAACGACACUCCUGCCUGAGGAUAAGACACUCCAAUUUACAAUUGAUAAGGAGGUGUUUGGUGGUGAGCGCGAUACCUUCCUCCUGCCUGAAGAUAUUACACAAUUUGCAGGCAUGGAAGAAAUUGGAGCUACUGUAUUGGCUGUAUAUAUGAGGUUUGUACUUCUAAAAUAAUACCUCGUUGGUUUAUAUAUUGCGUCGUCUUAACUAACUAACCACGUCGUCUUAACUAACUACCGUCGUGAUAAAUAUAUUAUAACGUCCUCAUCUAUUUCAGUACGUCGUGUGAAAUAUUAUAAUACGUCGUUUUUUUAUACAUAACCGUCGUGUUUGUUUGUGCUGACUUGUUUAUAUUAUUUUAUGUAUUUAGGUACUUACACGAUGUUUUGAAACAAGCCAAUAUGUGCAGCAUGGUUGGCUUUAUUGACCCUGCUACAGUUAGUGCCAACUCUGGCACAAUAACUGAAAGAUCACGACUGGUAGCAGCUCGACUUCAGAAGACAGACGGUGAACAGCUUUUCAUGAUGCCUUACAAUCCAGGGUUAGUCUCCUUAGGAUUUUGUUUUUAUGAUUUUCAAUAAAUGACAGCUUAUAAACUAACCACGUCGGUGUUUUAUUUUAUUUAGUCGUUUGAAACUACUAACCACGUCGGUAUUUAUUUGUCGUCGUGAUAAAUAUAUAAUGUCGUCGUUAUCUACUUUAUUUCGUCGUGUGAAAUACUAUAAUACGUCGUUUUUGUAAAUAACCGUCGUUUUUAUAUUAAUUUUGUGCAGCCGUCAUUGGAUCCUGCUGAUUGUAAGAGCAAAGAAGGAGACCGUCUAUUUUCUGGAUCCUCUGCCAGGUCAUCGUGUGGUCGACGAAGAGGCGAAAAACAUCGUGAACAGUGCUUUAAAAAUAUAUAAUACCCACAUAGGCCGAGCAGGACGUAAAAAUGUAAUUUGGAAAACUCUCUCAGGCACACCAAAGCAACCCAGCAAUGUCGAAUGCGGGUAUUAUGUGAUGCGCUUCAUGAGGGACAUCAUCAUGGAUCCUUCCUUGGGGUUUGAGAAUAAGGUAAGAAGAAAUUACCUUCAUACAUUUCACGUCGUUUUUUGUAUUAUCAACGACGGUCAUGUAAAAUUAACGUCGUUGAAUGGAUAUACUACGUCGGUUAUGAAAAAUAUCGUCGUCUGUGAUUGAAUUUCUUUUUAUUUAUAAACCCUAAUAGUCAUUGUUUAUGCAGUAUGCCAAGGGAAACCAGGAAGCUUCAUACCCCCAAGAAGCCAUUGAUGAAGUCCGGAAUGAAUGGGCAGAGUUUGUUUUCCAAAUUAUUAAACAGGGCAAUUAUUGAACACUUGAUAUUUAUGUAUAAUGUACAAAUUUUCUCUAUAAUAUGUAAUGUAAAAAUUUGUUGAGGUUUUCUUAAAUUAAAAAAAAAACAAACAUACAAAUUGCUUAACCGACGUGUAAUACUUUUCCAACGACCUAAUAAAGUCACAAACCGUCGUAUUUUGUUGUUUCGUGUUUUAAACAAUUACGACGUAAAAAUAUAGUUAGACGACGUUCUUUGAACAAUUGAGUCGUUUAUGGUUUACAACAUCUUCAAUUUCUUAAGGGUUCAGGGUAUCAUCGACGACGUUUAUGUAACGACAGCGGUUAAGUCGUUGAUAUAUAUAUUUUACGUCGUAUAGUUAAAUAGCCGCCAUGGUUUCUCAUUUUAACGACGUCAUUUUAACGACUUAGUAGUCUAUUACAAUUUACAACGUCUACAAUUUAUUAACACCGACGUGGUUUGUUGUUGUGGUAAGAAUAUUUUAUUAUUUUUAUAUCAAAAUAUUCAAAAUAAAUUUAAAAUAAAUCAGAAAAUUGAAAAGUCAACUCCUAUGAAGUCAUUGAUAUAUUUUCUUCCACAUAAACCUUGAAAAAAUUCAUUUUGAAUAACAAAAAUUUAAAAUGACCAUCCAAAACAAAAUUGUUUUGAUGAGUCAUAAAAUCACUUCUAGUUUUAUGGUUUAGGGUUUAGAGUCUAGGGUUUAGAGAUUAGGGUUGUUAUUUAUUGGGGUUUAUUUUUAAAGUAUAAUUUUUGGGUAGUCUAGGGUAUAUGUUAGGCUUUAAAACCAUAAAACCUUUUAUAAACUUAAUUUUUUAAAUUGUAUAAUUUAAUUUUAUGGGUUUAGGGUAUUAAUUUUUAACGACGGUGGUUGGGUCGUGGAAUACAUAUUUUACGUCGUACAGUAAAACAUACGACAUGGUUUACGCUUUAAACGACGUCAUUUUAAUAUGUAAGUCGGUUUAUAUAAUUUACAACGUUUUUAAUUUCUUAACACCGACGUGGUUUCUCAUUUUAACGACGUCAUUUUAACGACUUAGUAGUCUAUUACAAUUUACAACGUCUACAAUUUAUUUAACACCGACGUGGUUUGUUGUAUGGUANNNNNNNNNNNNNNNNNNNNNNNNNNNNNNNNNNNNNNNNNNNNNNNNNNNNNNNNNNNNNNNNNNNNNNNNNNNNNNNNNNNNNNNNNNNNNNNNNNNNCGACGUUUUAUAACGCGCGCGCUCUAAAAAUUUUCGGCGACCUAAAUUUUUUUAGAUUUGGCUCUUAGUCUUAUACUUUGAUCCCUGAAACCUAAAAUUUCAGAUUUCACGCGACAUAACAUUUCGCUCUCUCACUUCUGCUCUAAUUAAAAGUUGCACUCUCCAGGCUCGUCGAAUCUGUGAGCUCGUCCAACCUGUAAGUACAAACCCUAUCUUCCCCUUGUAAAUUCAUUGAAUGAUAUUAGGUUGUUUUGUUAAAGGGUUUUAGGUAUAUGCUUUGCGAUCUGUUAAUAAUGUGCUUAUAGGUAUGGGUUCAUGGAUUUUCUGUUUAAUGGGUUCAUGACAAGAUCAAAUAAAGGUGUACUUUUGCUGGAAAUCAACACAAAAAGACACAUCACCAACUUCCAAAUGAUUUCCAGCAAAAGGACACCUUUAUUUGAUCUUGUCAUUUUCCGCUCUGGAGAAGGUGCAAAGUGCACCAAUGCUUAUAGGUAUGGGUUCAUGGAUUUUCUGUUUAAUGGGUUCAUGGAUUACAUUAUCUGUUAUGUUGAAUUGGGAAUGGAUUUAAUUUUGUCGUAUCUUUUAAUCACCCUAUGUUAUGUUGAAUUGGGAAUGGAUUUAUUGUUUUCAUGCUUGGUUUCAUGUAUAUGUUGGUUUCUUGCUUGGUUUCAUAUAUAUGUUGUGUUCUUAAUGGGUUUUGUGUUCUUGAAAAUAAACUGAGACACGACGAAUUUUAAGGCGUACGACGACGAUUACACGACGGUGUUUUUAAACUACCGUCGUUGUAUUACUUAUACACGACGGUUUUUUCAUAAACCGUCGUUUGUAUUACGUAUAAUAGACGACGUCUGUUGAAAAUCCGUCGUCUAUAUAUGCCAAAUACGUCUGUUUUUGAUUAAAACCCGUCGUCUCUGUUGUUUAUUACUUGCGAUUAGAUCAUUGUAUAAUCUGCUAUAGUGAUGGUCAUUGCCUGUAUUUUCACUUUAUUAUAGAUAAUAGGUUAUAGUGUCGGAGAUGGAUAAGUCAUGGAUGCACUCGGAUAGAAGAUCGAAGGCAUAUGAGUUUGGGGUGGAAGCAUUUUUGAACUUUGCUGUAGAAAAUCUUCUAACUACAACACAUAUCCGUUGUCCAUGUGUUAAAUGUGUUAAUUUGAAGUUGUUUGGGGUUGGAAUUAUAAGGGAUCACUUAUACUUUAAUGGAAUUGACCAAAGCUAUAAGAAUUGGACAUUUCACGGAGAACCUUGGGAAGCAACUACUAAUGCUAGCAGAAAUGUUGAAGAAGAUGAUGGCCAUAGUAGGUACAGUUUUGUGUCUGAAGAAAUUGAUAUGGAUGAUAAUGAUUUUGGUGAUUUUGGUUCGGAUCCGUAUGAGUUUGCCAAUGUGAUUGGGGAUGGAGAUCAACCAGUGUACCCUGGUUGUAGAAAGUACACGAAGUUAUCGGCAUUAGUGAAGUUGUAUAAUUUGAAGGCAAAACAUGGGAUGAGUGAUGUCUGUUUUACAGAAUUAUUGAUACUUCAAGGCGAUUUGCUUCCAGAAGGAAAUACAAUACCAACCUCCAUGUAUGAGGCUAAAAAGACUUUGUGUGCAUUGGGGCUGAGUUAUGAGAAAAUGCACGCAUGCCCCAAUGAUUGCAUCUUGUAUAGGAAGGAGUAUGAGGAUUCAACUAAUUGUCCUACUUGUGGUAUCUCAAGGUGGAAGGAAGGCAAAGAUGCAAUCUUGAAAGAGGGUGUGCCAGCGAAGGUGGUGUGGUAUUUUCCCCCAAUUCCAAGGUUUAAAAGGAUGUUUCAAUCACAUGAGACAGCUAAGAGUUUGACUUGGUGGCAUGUUGCUAGAAAAUCAAUUGACGGUCAGAUGUCUCAUCCGGCGGAUUCCCCGUCUUGGAAACUUCUUGAUGAUAAAUGGCCUGAGUUUGGUAAUGAGCCGAGAAACUUGAGAUUGGCUCUUUCAUCUGAUGGAUUCAAUCCCCACAGUUCUCUAAGUAGCAGAUAUAGUUGUUGGCCGGUUAUCUUAGUUACAUAUAAUCUCCCUCCAUGGCUGUGCAUGAAACGAAAGUUCAUGAUGUUAACCUUAUUGAUUUCCGGUCCUAAACAACCCGGAAAUGAUAUAGACGUCUACUUGGAGCCUUUGAUUGAUGAUUUAAAAUCCUUGUGGGUUGGGAUUAGAGGAGUGUAUGAUGCACAUAAUGGAGAAUACUUUACACUCAGAGCUGCAUUAAUGUGGACAAUUAAUGAUUUCCCCGCCUAUGGAAACUUAUCUGGUUGUGUUGUUAAAGGAUAUAAAGCUUGUCCAAUAUGCGGCGAUGAUACACCUAGUCACAGGUUGAAAAAUGGCCACAAAAUUUGUUACAUUGGGCAUAGAAAAUGGUUACCAAUCAAUCAUCCAUAUAGGAGGCAACGUGCAGCUUUUAAUGGGAAACCUGAAUAUGGCAUACCUCCAGAGCCAUUAACCGGAGAAGAAGUGCUGCAUAUGGUUGAAAAUGGUGACAGAGUUUGUUGGAAGAAGAAAUCAAUAUUCUUUGAUCUCGAGUAUUGGAAAUACCUUCCUGUGAGGCAUGCCCUAGAUGUUAUGCACAUUGAGAAGAAUGUUUGCGAUAGUAUCAUUGGUACAUUGCUGGAGAUCCCUGGAAAAAAUAAAGAUGGGAUUGCUGCUCGAUUAGAUUUAUUGAACAUGGGGGUCAAAACUGAUUUGCAACCCGAGUAUGGAGAAAGACGUACUCGUUUGCCUCCUGGGCCUUGGAAUUUGUCAAGAGCAGAGAAGAGAGAGGUUUGCAAUUCUUUCUAUGGUAUGAAGGUCCCUGAAGGUUAUUCUUCAAAUAUUAAAAAUCUUGUAUCUGUACAAGAUUCAAGACUUCUUGGCCUUAAAUCACAUGAUUGUCAUACCUUAAUGCAACAAUUGCUCCCUGUGGCAAUUCGUUCUGUUUUGGAGAAGCCUGCAAGGUAUGCAAUAACUCGUUUGUGCUUCUUCUUCAAUGCUAUAUGUGCAAAGACUGUUGAUGUUUCCAAGCUAGAUAAGUUGGAAGAAGAUGUAGUAGUUACUCUGUGUUUGCUUGAGAAGUACUUUCCCCCUUCAUUCUUUGAUAUCAUGGUUCAUCUAGUAGUACAUCUUGUCAGAGAAGUUCGUCUAUGUGGGCCAGUAUAUUUUAGGUGGAUGUAUCCGUUUGAAAGAUAUAUGAAAGUGCUGAAGGGGUAUGUUCAGAAUCGUACUCGUCCCGAAGGUUGCAUUGCUGAGCGGUAUAUAGCUGAAGAAGCGGUAGAGUUUUGUACUCAGCAUUUAUCUGAUGUUAGUACAGUUGGAGUGCCUUCAAGCCAAAAGAUGGGAGUUUCAAAGCCAUUAUCAGGUUGCACAGUGAGCGUAGUUGAUCAGGACCUGUUGAAUCAAGCACAUCUAUAUGUCUUGGAGAAUACGGAGGAAGUCCUACCUUAUAUCGAGUACGUAUGAGUUUUAUUCUUUAAGUUUCCAUUUAAAAUUAUUUCUUAUGUUUAUCUUAUAUAUUUGGGACCGUAAUGCUUGAAUUUUUCGUGUCAUGUAGGCAACAUAUGAUCCACAUCAAGACUGCUUAUCCAAAAUUUAGAAAGAGAACAAAGUGGCUGCAGGAUAAGCACAAUAGCACUUUCAUUCAAUGGCUACGCUUCAAGGUAUAUGUUGUUGAAUAACGUAUUUCUCUUUUAAUUUUCUUCUUAUUUAUAUGUUAGGAUGAAUUAAGAUAUGAUUAAUUUGCAGGUUCAAAGUGAAGUUGAGGAAGACAAUCAUGGCGUAUCAGAAAAUUUAAGGUGGCUAGCAGCUGGUCCAAACAUGUCAGUGCCAUUAUAUAGGAGCUAUCUUAUUAAAGGUAUUAAAUUCAAUAUCAAGGCACAAGAUGAUGUGCGGACAACUCAAAAUAGUGGAGUUUAUUUACUUGCACAUACCAUGCAAGUUGCUAGUGCCAAGGAUAAAAACUCAAUUCUCUCAAAUAUGGGUUUCUAUGGUGUCAUUCAAGAAAUUUGGGACCUUGACUACCAAAAGUUUACAAUCCCAGUCUUUAGGUGUGAUUGGAUAGAUAGUUCUGGUCUUGUAGUCGACGAACUUGGAUUUACCCUUGUAGAUUUGAGUAAAAUUGGACAUAGGAAUGACCAAUUUGUUUUGGCUUCUCAAGUCAAACAAAUAUUUUUUGUUGACGACCCGAUGCAUCGUGGUUGGUCGGUAGUGUUAUCAAUGCCUAGUAGAGAAUAUAAUGAUGUUAUUGGUGAUGAAGUAUUAGGUGAUGUGAUAAUUGAGUGUGAGCCAUUUACUAGAGGGAUGCCAAAUGUUGACACAUUUGAUGAACUGGUAGGUGAGUUAGGCGGUCAAAAUAUUCGAGAUGGGUGUGAAGAUAUAUGGAUUGAAUGAUGCUUAUGUAAUUGGCAGUGUAUGACAUUAAUUUUGUAAUAUAUUGUAAUGUGAUUUCUUCACUUUCUACGUUCAAAUAAAACACGACGUUAUUGUGAAUCAGUUAUUCAGCAUAUUUACCGACGUCUUAAAGCAACGUAACAAUGAAGAACCACGACGCUAUUGUGAAGCAAUUAUUCAGGAUAUCACGUCGGUGAAGGAUAAAGAACCGCCAUGUAAUUCAAAAUAACACGACUCCAAUCCCAUAAUACCGACGUCUAAAAAACGAGAUAUGUAAUCUGAACGUUAAAAAAUACGACGUCAUCAUACAUUUUCCACGUCGCAAGUUCUUUUAUAAACGAAGAGGAACGAAAUUAAUUCCGACGGAAAUUCAUUAUAACCGCCGUCUAAUAACAAUUAAACGACGUUAUUUGUAAUACGGCUCCCAUCAUAAUCUACGCCGUCUAUAUGUUCUGUAAUACGGCUCUCAUUUAUUUGGAACCGACGUUGUUUAGACGUUCAACGUCGUCUAUAUUAUUAAGUGCGUCGUGAGUAAUGAAUACAUAUAAAUACAACGUCGACUAUAUAAAUGUAUACGUCGUAAAUAAUGACACUGACAACUAUUUCCACGUCAUCUUUUUUAGAUAAAAUCGAAGUGGAAAAUUUAUUUCACGACGGUUUUUUGUAAAUAAGAGACGUUGUAGAACUUUAGCAGACUAAACACGUCUGUUUUUAUUGUUUUCCGACGUUGUUGUAUUUAACAACGUCUAAUAUUUAUGGUCGUUGUUUGUUUCUGAAAAUAGGACGUAUAAAUUUUUUAAUACGACUCUCAUAUAUUUGUAACUGACGUUGUUUAGUUUUUCAACGUCUACUAUAGAAACACAUACGUCGUAAAUAAUGACACUGACAACUAUUUCCACGUCAUCUUUUAUCAAAAAAUCGAAGUGGAAAAUUAAUUGUACGACGGUUGUGUUUAUAUGUGCGACGUAGUAGGUAUCAAUAACGUCGUCUUCUAAUGUAUUUAAAGACGUCAUAUUUUUUAUUGUCGUGAAAAUUAUAUUUAACGUCGGCGUAUUUUUAUUGUCGUCGUUGUAUGUCUAUCUUGCGGCCUUGUUCUCUUAAUAUGUGUCAUAUUUUCCCUUUUUAACGACGGUCUUUUUAGAGAAUUGGUCGUCUAUUAUCAUCAUCGAUUGCUUUUUUUAGAUCUUUUUGCAGUACAAAGACGUCGUUUUGUAUUUUUUGAUGACGUUGUAUUGUUUAACAACGACGGUUAUUUAGCGUCGUGGUUUAUGAGGGAAAAGAUGACGGUGGAUUCCACGACCAUUGAAAAACCAAAUACACGACGGUGAUUUACCGUCGUCUUUUUGCUUUUUUGUAGUAGUGAUUCUUCUUCUUGUAGGAGGUCAUAUUUAUAAUACAACGAAACCUAAAUGGGCAAGUAAAUAAUAAAUUCCUAAAUCUAUUUACAGUAGGAAAUCAGGAAUUAAAGUAAAUCAAUUAUAAUUAUAAUAGGAAUUCUUGGUGUGUAAGGAAAGUAAGUCAAUAUCCACAAGUCACGCCAACACUCCCCCUCACGUUGGUGCAUAGAUGUCGCCAAUGCCCAACUGAUCCAGUGAAUUGUGGAAUGCUUUACUGGAAAUCGCCUUUGUCAAAAUAUCCGCCAAUUGAUCCUCGGAUUUCACAAAAUGCGCAAUCUGGUCCAUAUGUCGGGGUCGUUAGUCGAGAAGUCAUAAUCUGUGCAGCGGAAGAUGCAUAGGAUACAGUUGAGUAGGAAUUAGGAUCGGAAUCUGAGCCUGAGUCGAGGCCUGAGUCGGGGUCGGAGUCGGAGUCAAAAUCGAGAUCGGGGUCUGAAUCAUAGACAAAUUCGAGGUUGGGGUCAUCAUCGGAGUGGGGGUCGGGGUCGUCUUCGGAGUCGGGGUCAGGGUCGUCGUCGUCAUAGUCGGGGUCGGGGUCGGGGUCGUCAAAAGAGGAUCCUGAUUCUGGAUCGGGGUCUGAAUCAUAGACAAAUUCGGGGUUGGGGUCAUCAUCGGAGUGCGGGUCGGGGUCGUCUUCGGAGUCGGGGUCGGGGUCGUCGUCGUCAUAGUCGGGGUCGGGGUCGAGGUUGUUAAAAGAGGAUCCUGAUUCUAGAUCGGGUUCGGGGUCAAAGUCUGCAUCUGUAGGGGCGGAGCCAUCUAGGCACUCAACUCAACGAUGGUUGAUUGAGAAUGAGAGAAGGAGUCGGUGGUGCUACCUCCAUGAGGGUUGAAAAAAUCAUCAACCCCCAUAACACUAAAUAAAAUAAUCUCUAUUACAAUAGGACAAAAUAUAAUUGGUAAGUAACCAAAAUUCUAAUGAAAUAAGGACUCGCCAACACUCCCCCUCAAGUUGGGCAAAGAUAUUUCGCAGGCCCAACUUGACAAGCGAGUCACAGGACACCAUACUUGAGAAACACCAAUUGUAGAGAAGAUCUUUUAGUCAACCACGAGUGAAACAAGUGACAAACUAAAACAAAGUUCACAGCGGAAACACAAGAGCAAACCCUAAAAAAUAGGGCACAUAGCAAAAUAUUAAAACUAUGAGAGAAUAUUUGUUUGUGGGAAUUUUCUGUGUAUUCUUCUUCUUGUAGGAGGUCAUAUUUAUAAUACAACGAAACCUAAAUGGGCAAGUAAAUAAUAAAUUCCUAAAUCUAUUUACAGUAGGAAAUCAGGAAUUAAAGUAAAUCAAUUAUAAUUAUAAUAGGAAUUCUUGGUGUGUAAGGAAAGUAAGUCAAUAUCCACAAGUCACGCCAAUAGUUGAUGGAAACGGAAAAUCCAGUUAUAUAUACCACGUUAUGAGUGGAGAACAAACAACUUUUUUUUACCCCCCAAAAAAAAAACAAUGAACUUUCGAAAACAGUUAUACCACAUUCUUUUCAAUUCAUUAGGUCUCAAACUUUCAGUGAUCUAUUUGAAACUCACAAGAAUUAAUGAAAAUGAGAAAUUGCUUUCUUCCCAAAUCAACUUCUUUCUCAAAUCUACGUGAUGGCAAGUCUUGGUUUAAAUUGGUUUUUUUAAUUAGUAUAUACACCAACGUUUGCUCACCAAAAGAUGUCUCAGUCUAUCAUUUUUCCAAAUAUUGACCCACCAUUAACUUUAUUUAUUUUUAAAAUGGGAAUAGUUUACAAAUAAACUUGUUAAAAAAAAGUUCGUAUAUCUAUUAUGUUGAUCUGUUUUUUUUUCAUUGAAUAAAAGUGAUAGUCUAAAUUACAAAGGGAUGGGCAUAAUACGUACACCAAGAUGUUAUAAGGGUUCAAACAUGAAAUCACUGGUCUGCAAAUUAAGGCCCUUGUCCACUGAACUAAACCAUUGACAUUGUUGAUCUGUUUUUUGUUUGGAAAAUGCUAGGGAGACCAACUUUAGAUACCAACUUGUGUACCAUCUCUCUAAUAGAGCGUGAGACCCAUUGUAUUAGUAGACUUCACCUCUAUUAGAAAGAUGGUACACAAGUUGGUAUCUAAAGUUGAUCUCUCUAGCAUGACCCAUCAACCAUUGCAUCAAGUUGAUACAAUAUAUAUAUGUGAGCUUGGAAAUUUCCAACUUAUGUCAAGUCUUUUAUUUUGCUCACUUUUUCUAUUAUGUCUUUCUUGCAGAUGAUCACAUGAUCGGACUGGGUAAGAGGUUACGUAUUCCUUAAGUGUAGGUUUGACAGCAGUGGAUCAAUAAUCCAAUCCCUACUUUUAAAAAAAGCAGUGGAUCAACCAUUUUCUUUUUAUCAUGAUUCUUUUUGUGAUGUUGCUUCGCAGGAGAAUUUUUCCCUGUAAGAUCUAUGCUUGGGUUUCCAUUUCUGGCUGCUCUUAUAAUCUACAAAUGGCGUAGAAGGCAUUUGUCCAUGUAUAACACCAUCGAAGAAUUUCUACAAAGCGAUAACAACUUCAUUCCAAUACGAUACUCAUACUCAGACAUUAAGAUGAUGACCAAUAGAUUCAGUGAAAAACUAGGUGAAGGAGGAUAUGGCUGUGUAUUUAAAGGAAAGUUACGAAGUGGCCGUUUUGUAGCAGUUAAGAUCUUGGGGAAGUCUAAAGCUAACGGACAAGAUUUCAUCAGUGAGCUAGCCACAAUUGGGAGGAUUCACCAUGCUAAUAUUGUUAAUCUUGUUGGUUAUUGUGUUGAGGGAUCAAAUCGUGCCCUUAUUUAUAACUUCAUGCCUAAGGGGUCUCUUGAUAAAUAUAUUUACUCAAAAGAAAGAAGCAUCUCCUUAAGUUGCAGGAAAAUGUAUGAAAUUUCUCUUGGAGUGGCUCAAGGGAUCGAAUAUCUACAUCGAGGUUGUGACAUGCAAAUUCUACAUUUUGACAUCAAGCCUCACAAUAUUCUUCUGGAUGAGAAUUUCAUCCCAAAGAUUUCUGACUUCGGGCUUGCAAAGCUAUAUCCGGUAGGUAAUACCAUCGUCUCUUUGACGGCAGCAAGAGGAACAAUGGGAUACAUGGCUCCUGAGUUGUUUUACAAAAAUAUUGGAGGUGUCUCAUACAAAGCUGAUGUCUAUAGUUUUGGAAUGUUGUUGAUGGAAAUGGCAAGUAGAAGGAAGAAUUUGAACGCAUCCAUAGAGCAUUCAAGCCAAAUUUAUUUUCCUCGUUGGGUCUCAGACCAAUUUUGCAUGGGCAAAGAGUUUGAGAUGGAUGAUGCUACAGAAGAGGAAAAGAAAAUAAUAAAAAAGAUUAUUAUAACUGCUUUAUGGUGUAUACAAUUGAAGCCAAGCGAUCGUCCUUCGAUGAACAAAGUUAUAGAGAUGCUUGAGGGAGAGGUUGAAUGCUUGCAGCUCCCUCCCAAGCUUCUUUUAUAUCCACAACAAGAGAUGCCCAGAGACAAUCUUCAUGGUAAUUCGAAUCCAAUGUGUUCUAAAACAGAGCUAACAUGUAGUACUCUGUCAGCUAGGUGAUGAGUAAGACUCAAUUAGAGUUUCAACUUUAAUUUCGGUUUUAUUAUUAUUUAAGCUAAUAAGGGAAAUAUAUGGGUUCAAGUUGCAUACAUUAAAAAUACGUUUUUAUUUUGAACAAAUACUUAUGUAGUUGUGCUCCUCUGCCACCACAAGCAUCACCAUCGUUGUCACUAUCACUACCACCAACAUUGAGUCAUAUCUCAUAUACAGUUUUUUUUUUUUUUUUUUUUUUUUUUUGGUUUGAAAAAUGCUAAGGAGACCACCUUUAGCAAAAAAUUUACCUGUAACGGGGGAUAGCAAUAUUUUGCUAUCCCCAAUCAAUAACACAAUGACCCGUAGAAAGGCUAUCAUACGUUUUAUUACAUUAUUGGUUGGGAAUAGCAAAAAGUAUUAUCCCGUUACAUAAGAGUUUUCCCUCCAUCUUUAGAGAGACCAACUUGUGUAUCAUCUCUCUAAUAGAGAUGAGACCCAUAGUAUUGGUGGGCUCUACCUUCAUUAGAGAGAUGAUACAUAAAAGAUGUUUUUAUAAAAAUAAAAUUUAAAUAUUGUAUUUAAAUGUCAUUUUGAAUUCGCACGCUUGGUGAAGAAAUGGUUGAGUAUGCGCUACCAAUCCUUUCUUUGCAGUUAAACUAGUGAAUCUUGAGUGCUUUGAUUCUUAUGUCGACGGUGAACUGCCCAAGCAUGGCUUUCUUCAACAAGUUGGCUCAGUAGAGACUGAGAGUUCAAAUGCAGUUGCUCAACCUUUCUUUGUUGCCUGACUCCUUCCCAAUUGUCGAAGUCAACUUGGGUUUCGAUUUGGGCAUGUGGUCACGCCUUUACCCGGAUAAAAGUACCUUUUGAAUUAUUGGCAAGGGUUUCUUACUUUAGAAAGUCAAAUCUCUGGGCUUGUUUCUGGUUUGACUUGAGCUUCCAUUGUUAAGUCUUUCUAUUUAUGAAUUUAAGCGGCCCAAAGCCCAUUUGUACUUAAAAAAAACCCCUUAAUGGGUUUUUUUCCAUUUUAGGCAUGACCCUUAGAAUUUAAACAAUAUUAAUGUUAUUUAUCUAUAUAUAUAAAGCAAAAGGCAGAGAAUGGUGAAACAUUCAAAAUGCAAGAAAAUGCCCUUCGUUAAUGCAAACAUUAAGAAUUGAAAUUAUUAAUUAAAUGAGGAUAAUAUGGUAAAUUCACACUUUUUCAUAUUUAAAAAUAUUAAACUUAAAAGAAAAAUCAUAUAAUGUAUCCUAUUUUUAUGGAACACAACUACCUAUUAUCUUUUUUAAUUCUAAAAUAAAUUUUAAAUUUUAAAUUUUGAAAAAAAAAAAAAAAAAACUCUCGUAGGCUCGAAAGCGCGUGCACAGAGGCUAGUAAUAAAUAAUAGCCACUUAAGGUUGGCAACAACUACCAAUCAUCAAUGCUUAUUGUUACUGCCACUUGUAGAGGAGUUGUGAUGGCCAGGAAAUCUAGGAUUAGGAAAAUGGGAAAUUUGAGGAAUACAUUUAGGAAGAAGAGUACAUCUAAGAUAAGGAGUGAAAGGAAUGGGAGCUUUAGGCAUUCGAGGUUUAGGAAUGUGAGCUAGGCAAAUCCAGAAUUUUUACUUUCAAGGGUCAACACGUAAAGUGUCACAAAUAUUUUUUUUAGACAAAACUGACCUGUAAAAGGACAUAUAAAAUCAACACUAAUUUACUAUUUGCAAUUAGUCCUAUUAAGGACCUUAGCAUAUAAAAAAUAUGCUUUAAAAUAGGCUCAUAAUCAAUUUAUGCAGUCCCGAUCUCUUGGACCACAGGAGUCCAAGAGAUUGUGGUCACUUACCGUUGGAUAUUAAUCCAAUGGUUCAAAAAAGUUUCUUAAAAGAAGUGCAAGAGUUAGUGAACCGUUGAAUUUACAUCCAACGGUGAGUGACCACAAAUCUCUUGGACCCCUGUAGUCUAAGAGAUCAUGACUGUCAAUUUAUGUUAGCAAUUGUUUGUAUUGCUAGUUAAGAUUAUUAUGUCUUGCUAUAAUAACUUUUAUAUACAUCAUAAAGCCAGCAAAAUUAUUUGGCUGGGUAGGGUUUGCGUUGGAGAAUUGAGUUGCUAAGUUGAACCAGUAAGCCCAUUUCGGCCCGGCUAGUAAGCCCAUUUUGGCCCGGCCAGUAAGCCCAGUAAGCCCAGCCCAGUCAGGCUCAUUUUUUUAAGGGUUUAGGCUGGUAGCAGGCCACCAAAUAUUCAAAGCUUUUCCUACAUGAUUUGAGGCACCACUUCCCUCUUUGUCACCUGCUUUUUGACAAAGAAGGCAUGUGCCAUCAUUUCCCCGCAAAGCCCACGAAAUUGCCACAAGGUAGAAGCCAUAAAGUGGCUCUCACACACUUAACUAAACAAUAAUUUUGACCAAUAUUCAACAAAGAAUCUUCAACAUGCCAUUGUCCCCCACUUUCAAUUCAGAGCAUGGAAUUGGCCUUCGCGUCAAUGAUCACUUGGAAGAAAUUCAUUGGCAAUAUGCAAAACGGGUCCAAGGGAUUUGGCAUAUAUCUAUCAAGCUCCUGUCAAACGCGGCUUUGAGCUCCAAGUCGUCGUGACAAUAGAAUUGCAGCAGCUGCUUGACCAAAGCUUGCUAGCGGAUUGAAGAAGUGUGUCUGAAAAUUUAUCUCUCCAUGGCAAGCACUUGCAGAUUAUGUGUUCUCGUUAUAGUAAGUGUAUUACUGUUUGGUCCAGCUGCCUUUUUUUCCUUUUUCCUUUUUGUCCCAUUUAGCCGUAUAUCUAUUCCAUCAAUUACGAAGAGCCAUGGUAAGUGCAUCCCGUCCGCCUGCGGGAACAUCCACAACAUAAUCAGCCCUUUCCGACUAGCCAACUAUCCAAAUCAAAGCAAGUGCACAAACUGGAAUUACCACUACCUCUUUUGUCACAACAACCUCACAGUAUUGACAGUAGAUUGGGGAAACUACUCUGUGCAGGCAAUCAACUAUGACAACUUCACAAUCCGAGUUGUAGAUCCUGGCAUUCGCAACAAUGAUUUCUCCUCCAUCCCCCGUUAUUCGCUUUCCAUUUACAACUUAACUUAUAGUCAUCUUCGAUUAACCUCAAGUACAACACCUAUAACUUUCUUCAAGUGUGCAAAAGCAGAGAACUCGUCUGUAAUGAGAACAUAUAAUUAUGUCAAGCAAGGGAAUAUAACGGCAUCAGAUAUGGAGGACGGGUGCAGAAUAGAGUGGACG